GACAUCGUGUCUUAAGUCACAGAGUUUGUAUUAGGAGGUGAAAAAAUGUAAUUUUGUUUUUGUUGGAUCGAUCAUGCAGAAGAUUAUUGUUUGGUGAUUGCAAUAAUCUUCUUAUUUUAUUUUUGGAUGAGUAUUGUAAUAUUUUUUUAUUUUGUCACGAAAUCGCCAAAGGGGGAGAUUGUUAAGGAUUUUGUUAAGUUGGCGAUUUUCGUAAAGUUUUGGACGGAGUCUCGAAGAGGUAGAAGACGAAGGUUGAAGAAAGAAUUGGAGUUUGGCGAUCAAAGACCCUUGGGAUCUCAGGUAUGAUUAUAUAUAAUUUGUGGUGAGAGUUUGUUAAAAAUGUUUAGAAGACCUGGUUUUAUUUUUGAAAAUCAAAAUAAAGUUUUCAAAAAUUCUCAGGGGUCAGGGACUGGUCCUUCAUCAGAGGGACCGGACCCAUCAAGCUUCUCUGCGUAGAAGUUUUGGGAGACCGGUCCCUGAUCUUGAGGACCGGUUCCCGUAUGUGGUUUUUCUUUAUUGCGCAGGGAGGGACCGGUCUCUGAAUUGAGGACCGGUCCCCGUACGCUUGUUUUUACAGCUAUGCAGCGAAAGACCGGACCUCACCUUGGAGGACCGGUCCCCCAAGGACCGGUCUCCUCGGGAGGACCGGACCCUGAGACCGUCAUCAGUUUUUAAAUUGAGUUUUUUGAAUCCUAGUCUAUCUAGAAGUCUUCUAAACCUAUAAAUAUGAUAUGAGGAUCUUCAUGUGAGGUAGAUUGAGCGAGAUAACCUUUUAGAAACCCUAACGGCUUGAUUCGGAGUUUCGAUUUAUGUUUUUAAACAUCAAGCUUUAGAUCGCCGAUUUGAUUCUUUGAUUUGAUUCAAAUCUUCUUUAAGGAUCAAAUUGGUGAUGUUUUAAUUUGGGUUUCUCCUCAUAUUAUAUGUUCUUUCAAAGAUCUUAAAUCACCACAAAUUGUUAAAUCCCUACGUGCUUCGGAUGGAGCGUUAAUGCGUGGAUCUCGCGUGAAGACCGUGGAUUCGGUGGGCGUUUCGUGGAAUCGAGGCGUGUGCAGCUGCAAGGACUUGCAGUGUGAUCGGUUGGAGGAUUCCAAGCGAUCGAGGACUGGCAAAGAUAAUCUACAACGAGGAUUCGGUAUUUUGAGUCUUGUAUUUUUGGUAAAUCACUUGUACUCAUAUUUUCUUAGUAGAUUUCUUUGUGUGAUCGGUCCCGUGGGUUUUUCUCUUCGUUUUGGAGUUUUCCCACGUUAAUUCUCGGUGUUCUGAUUUUAUUUUCCGCAUUUACUUUAUAUUCGCAUUGAGUUUAGUGAUUUUUACCGUUUACACCUAUUCACCCCCCCUCUAGGUGUUUUCACCUUUUAGAUCCUCGAGAUUCAUAUCUUACAAAAAACUCCAAAACGACUACUUCGAAAAUCUUCGAAAACUACACACAUAAUAAGAUGAAAAAUACCUUUGAUCAAGCUACACUUGUCCAAAGCUCAAAUCAACCCAAAGGAUCUUCAAAUCCAACAUAAAGGAGAGUUCUAAACUCAUCAAUUAGGUUCCAAAAGCCUCAAACCAAGAAACCUAAAAAGAAACCCUAAUAUCUCAUAUCUAGGGUUCAUCUCAAGAAAUCCACUAAAAGGUGAAUCAAAGGGAAGAUUAAAGCUACUAAUCUCUCUUGAAGCUCCAAACCAAGCUAGGAAUGAGCUAGGGUUAGAAAUCUUUCCUCCAAAAGGCUCCAAUCCAAGCUCCAAAGCUUCUCCAAUGGUGGAAAGAUCACCAAAAAAUGCAAAGAGAAGCAAAAGAGGUGAUUAAUCCUCUAAAAUCCAAGCAAAAAUGGAAGAAAAUCAAAGAGGGAUGAGGAGAGGCUCCUUACCCUUCUCUCAUCAGGUUCCAGGCUCAGGGAGCACAAGAGGGGGCGUGAGAUAUUUGUAGAGUAGUAACAAUUUCAAAAACACCCCUCAAGAACAAGCAGUCAGCAAUCUGCACUGCGUACCGGUGACAUAGGAUGGGGUAUCGGUACUAGGCAGCAGCACGCCCAAACCCGAGCCUCGGGUUGGCGAGAAAAUACCCUGAGUACCGGUACUAGCGCAAUGAAGUACCGGUACUCGGGCAAUGCAGUACCGGUACUCUGCCCUACAGAGUCCAUCCCGAGAGCAGUCCAAAUUCUACAAUUUAGAGAUUUUGAUGCCAAGUUUCCAUCCUCGCUCCUCGGGAUGCAAGUCAUAGGUCGGAACACAAUCGACGACCAUACAGAAAACCCAAAAAGGCUCAGAUCAUCAAUCAAAUACUCGAACCUUACAAUUUGCUAAAGUUCAGUGUGUUACAUAGUUGAAUAGUAUGGUCUAACGAAUGAAAAUGGCCAAAGGGAUAGAUCUAACGACAGAAUACUCAAUAGCAACAAACACUUGGUACUAUCGAUAGUAUAGUAGCCGUACUCUACAUAUAUAGGUAGAUUUAACGGCAGAAAACUCAAUAACACCAAGCGCUUGAUAUUAUCGAUAGUAUAGUAGCCGGGCUCUCUAUAUAUAUAGAGUCCGGCUACUAUACUAUCAAUAGUACCAAGCGCUUGGUGCUAUCAAAUUUUGUGCCGUUAGAUCCACCCCUUUGACCAUUUCCACCCGUUAGAUCAUACUAUUCAAUUAACCAUUCAUUCAACCCUAGGGUAUUACUAUCAUCCUAACCACACAUCCCUUCAUCCAAAGGCCGAAAACCUAAUAGCAAGUGGUUGGUAGUAUUAAUUGUAGCACACUGAACUUUAGCAAAUUGUAAGGUUCUAGUAUAAGAAUAGCAUUUUGAGCUAUUCUAAAAGUUCUAGCGGUUGUUUUGAGUGUGUUGGCCUGUUUUUGAAACUUUCGAGCGCAAGAACAGAUUUCAACAUCAAAAUAUGUAAAAUUUUGAUUUUUGGUGUUGAGUAUCGGUAUUGAGUUUGUGGUACCGGAACUCAGUAGAGAGCAGAUUUGGGCAACUCUCGGAUUUUGCGAAACCUGAUUGUGUGUGCCGGUACUGAGCCGAGUACCAAGUACUGCAUCGAGUUUGUACCGGAACGCAGUAGAAAUCAGAAUUUUCAACAUUCGGGUUUUGCGGGAUUGAACCCUUGGUACCGAAACUGCCAAGUACCAUACUCAAAUUCGUUUACCGGUACUUAAUGCUGUAGAGACUAUUUCGUUCAGUUUAUAAUUUCUGAGUUUUGAGGGUCCUAAUCGGAUAUUGUUACAACUUGUAUAACACCCCCUCUACCCCUCUCAUUCUAUCUUGUGGGCUAAGGUUAGAGAAAGAGAAGAGGUGAGUUCCUCCUCCAUUUUCUCUUAGAAAUUUCUCCCUUCAACCUCUCUAAUCUUUGGUUAUCCCCUCCUUAGGUGCAUGCAUCUGGACCUUGAAAGGAGCUAGGAAGUGAAGGAAGAAGCUUAAUUGAGGAUUAAACUUCAACUCUAGUAUCUUAUAGCUUGGUUUGGAGUUUUAUUUGAGGUUAGUAACUGUCACGCCCGGGUACCAGCGGAAGCAUAUCCGGUACGUGCACAGACCCGCCAUACACCUGCAGUAUAUAAGGCGUCUACGAAGAAAGCAAGUCGAUAGGAAGUAAAACAAAGAAAGUCCUAUCCUGAUAUCAGAGCAAUGUACAAGUCGAUAUAUAUCAACAAAAGAACAAAGAGUGUACAAUCCCAAAAUCUCGACUAAAGAGCAAGUAUCACAACAGAAACAUCGGGAUCAACAGUAAAUAUACACCACGGAGUAUACAAAAAUAGGUAUAAUGGUGGUCUCUCUAUACAAAGGACAUCACCCUCGGCCGUAGCCCGAGUAGCAAGGUGAUCGACUAGCACGCUCCUAGCAAUGUCUAGCUAGACGCGACUCCCUUGCCACGAUCCCUAGCCUCUCCUGUAGAUGGCUCUGUAAAAACAACCACCAAAAGGGCGUGAGAACUAUUAACAAUAGUUCCCAGUGGGUAAGCCGCCAGCCUCGGCGAAUUACACCACUAGGCUCAUGAUGUACUAAUUGAAAGCAAAAACGAUAAUUGCAUGAUUUAUAAGCAUGAUGCUAACAAGUAAUGAGCAUGUAAUCAACAUGUAAUAGCAUUCUACAGUAAUGAAUCAUUUGCAUAAUAGGGAUAUGGCAAUUUCUGUAAUCAUGAACAUAGACAUGAAUAUAAGCACGAACAUGAAAGUGACUACUGUACACUUUAAUUAAUAAGCAUUCAUUACUGUCCUUUUUCAUUGAGUACUAUCCUUUCAUUCACAGGGACCUACCCAAGGUAGUCCAGCUUGCGCCGCGCCUAAUGGCCCCGUGGUAGUAUACACUCCCCACGGCAAUCCACUUCGGCACCCAAUCCCGCACGGGCGAGCAACUGUCGCGUAGGCCAACUCCGGAGUGCCGGCUUGUAGGGAGCUACCCUCACAAGCGUGUGCGAAUGAGCACGAUGGCAAGCAAGCAAGGUCCACAGUCCAACAUGUCUCAGCUAUCACAAUUAGCUCACAAUAUUCUCGCUCUCGAUCCUUUGAUCGGGAUUUCAAUAUAACCAAUAUUGAUAACGACUAGUAUCCACUAGAUAACAAACAUGUAAGAGUAAUGCUAGUUCAUAUAUGGCAUUAGAGUCUUUCUACUAUCAUGGCACUAUCAACAUAGUCACAUGGCAUGUCAUUGUUCUCUACUUUAUAAUCGAUAAAGUCAUGAGAAUAUCAUUGUUCUCUACUUUACAAAAGCAUAAUUAUCAUGUCCAUUAGUUAUUCAACUUAACUAAAAAUAAACAUAAACGUAAGCAUAAGUACAAUUAUGCAUGAAUUCUCUCUACUUCAUAGAGGUUCUAUUCAAUGUUAUGGCAAAGAAGUUCCAACAACCAUAUUGUGCCAAUAUCGCGCAACUAUCUCAAGUUCCAUACAUAUAGAACAUAGGGGAGCUUCACUUGCUCUGGUUAGGUCAAACCCACCUCGUACUAAGCUCCAAACAGUCCAAAGGAAGUCCCAAAAUCGGCUCAACAAAGCCCCAAUGCUGCUGAAAACAAGGUACGAGAGUCGAGUCAAUACUAUAACCGAAAUGUCCAAUUUCGGUACCAUUCGCACUUAAAGCAUAGUAGAAGUUUAAUUCCCUGUUUAGGGCUAGUUUGAUACCUCAAAUUAGGCUUCCAAAAGGCCCUCCACUGCCAAUCAAAGACGGUCCAAGGGUCAAAUGCUCUCUCGCUGCGAACAAAACCGAAACGGCGUCAAUAUGCUUGUAUAUCGGCUAGAUUAGUCGAAAUCUAGAAAUUUCAGUUUUCUAGCAGAAAUUCUUGCUUACCCUUGGUUAGAGCACCUUCUAAAUCAGUCCCCAAAGUCACCAAAUAAGCUUAAUUUGGUUCAACAACCUGCUGCAAAGAGAACAAUUUUCAAAUUGCAUCAAUUCGAUCGAAUAACCCGCGUAUAGUCCGAAAUAGCUUCGUAAUUAGCGAAACAUCUCUAAUAAGCUUCAAAGAAGCUCAUCCCUGGUCUAAGGAGGUUAAAUCAUAGCUAAGUGAUUCAUUUAUAAUAGCUGAAUUCUCAGUUUACAUCGGUUAGAAGCAAAAACUCAAACUCAAUACUCAAAUCGACGAAUAGAAUGCCGAUAACGGAAAAACAUUGAGUCGUUUACCUUCUCAAGCUUCCAACCAACAACCCACUGGUCCAGAGCUGCGAAAAGCUCUCCAAAAUACUCCCUCACACGUCCACGUAGGCUCUGCGACACUUGCGAACAGCGAAGAACCAACGUUGCGACGAAAACGAGCGAAAUCGUCGAAUUCUAUGUAGAGAGAGAAAAACCCUAGAGAGAGAAAGAGGAGAAGGUGAAGAAACCCUUUGCUGAGCUCUAGCACACUCCACUGAAGUCCCAGAGUCGUGCUGGGAUCAAAUAGAUAGGUAUCAAAUGUGAAAAGACCAAAAUAGCCUUACUGCCAUUAUUCUGCCAGCUUGUACCGGUACAAGGUAAUGGCUGUACCGGUACAGCAAGCAGAAAAAUGCUGAUUUCGCCAGUUCAAUGCAUUUUCUCACUUUUAGCAUUCCAAUCAACCUCUAACUUAUCCAAAAACUUGUUCUAACCUUUUAGAACAUGUAGGAUUGAUCCACACAUCGUUCCACACACUCGAACUCCGCAAUUUGCAAAAGUUCCGUAUAUUACAGUAACCUUCUUACAUUCUAUAUUGUGAAUUUUGUAAGAAUUUUGAUAGAAAACCUAGUUUGGAAGAAACUAGGGUUUAUUUUGGAUUUUUUUUUAUGUUGAGCUUUUGGGGUUGAAUCAAUAGGUGUAGAACACUCUUUUAGGUUAGAUUUGAAGUUCUUUCUCCUUCGUUUGGUCUUUGGACAAGUUUCUCUAAAUCAAAGAUACUUUUUUACCUAUUUUCUACUUGUUUUUUGAUGAAUUUCGUGGUAAGCUUUUUAGAAGCUUGUAACCCCUUCGAAAUUUUUCUUAAGGUGUUAGAAGUCUAGAGGGCAACUUCGUUUGAAAAAUGAUCAAGUUUUCGAACGGUAUCCGGUGGGUUUGACAUAGGUGAACUCCUCCUAUGUCUCCUAUUUUGUUACAGGAAUUAAUAAAUGCAUUCUUAUGCUAUUCAUGACAUCAUAAAAUUUUUGGACACAUGGCAUAUCCAUAUUAUGUAUGAAACCCUACAUUCUUUAUGUAGUAAAGGAGUUUUGACAACAACAUGCAUAUUAUAACAUAUGAACUUGUAUUGGGAUGCCAAUUUCUUUCUCCUAUUCAAAUAUGUGUGCAUGUUAAAUAUGAAUAAUAUUAUCAUAUGAGACACUAAACAUGGCUAGUGGAACUUUUGGGCUUGGACAUUGAAGGGCAAUAGUUUACAUUUGCUAUGCUUAGAGGAAAACAUGAAACUUUGCAUGUUAAUGACAAGUUGUAGAGCUAAGUAUAUUGUACUUAACCAAGAUGAAUAACUAGAGAUGACAUCAUGAUAUUAUACUCGACCUCUAGUUGGUGACAUUCUAUGUUUUAGACAUGACGAUUAAGUUUUUUACGCAUUUGAUUACACUUGUUUGUCUUUGUGCCCAUUCGCACAAGCUUGUGACGGUCACUCCUUACAAGCCGGCACUUCGAAGUUGGCCUUACCGACAUCAUGCUCACCCAUACAGGAUUGGACGCUGAAGUGAAAUGCUGUGGGCGAGGCUCAUUUUUAGAGGGGGAAUGUUGACUACCACGGGGCUAUUAGGCAGGGCACAAGCCGAGACUAUACCUUGUGUAAGUCCCCGAUGAUUGGGUAAAUGUAAUUUAAAUUUAACAUUGUACAUCACAACUAGUUGGUGCAUGCUUAGUAUUUGGACAUAUUUAUUAGUCAUUGUAUACUUAUACAUGUGAUAGUGUAGAUUUCAUACACGUUAAUUAACAUUGAUAUUUAGAGACAUAGUAGUUUGUCUGCCGCGAACGAACCGGCCCCGCCGUAGGUUGUUUCUAAGGUGAGUGGUCAUUCAUGGUAGAGAUUAAAUCUAUUUAUGAUUUAUUUUAAAAUCGGGAUUAUAGGUUCAUGGCUUCCAACAAACUCAAGAAUCUGUUGUUAAUUACCACACACUUUCGGUGUUAAGGAAACCUCGAUUAAGAGACCAAAUAUAAAUAUUGAUGAUAAAAGAGAAAAAAUAGGCAAAUAAAAUUUUAUUAAUAUGAUUUGCCGUAUACAUGGCUUAAGCAAAGGUAUACCCCCACUGUACAUAAAUUUUAUAAGACUAGAAUUGUCACGCCCCAAUCCUCGCCAAUUUGGUCGGGUUCGGGUCACGUCAACAGACGCCGAACGGACAGAGCCCCCCCUGUCCGCCCAAGGCUCUAACAACAUGUAUAAAUAGGCAAUCAACAAGAGAAUUGCAUAUAUAAUACAAGGCUCGCACGAGGGCAAGCAACAACGGAAGCGAAAGCUCUAAACUAAAUAUACAUCACACAUAAUAUUUGAUUUCAUUUAAACCAAAUUCAAGUAACCAAAGUUAUUACAUUCCAUUCAACCAUCCUAUCUUUUACAUUUAGUCAUCCACCAAAUACAUGAUUGUUUACACNNNNNNNNNNNNNNNNNNNNNNNNNNNNNNNNNNNNNNNNNNNNNNNNNNNNNNNNNNNNNNNNNNNNNNNNNNNNNNNNNNNNNNNNNNNNNNNNNNNNNNNNNNNNNNNNNNNNNNNNNNNNNNNNNNNNNNNNNNNNNNNNNNNNNNNNNNNNNNNNNNNNNNNNNNNNNNNNNNNNNNNNNNNNNNNNNNNNNNNNNNNNNNNNNNNNNNNNNNNNNNNNNNNNNNNNNNNNNNNNNNNNNNNNNNNNNNNNNNNNNNNNNNNNNNNNNNNNNNNNNNNNNNNNNNNNNNNNNNNNNNNNNNNNNNNNNNNNNNNNNNNNNNNNNNNNNNNNNNNNNNNNNNNNNNNNNNNNNNNNNNNNNNNNNNNNNNNNNNNNNNNNNNNNNNNNNNNNNNNNNNNNNNNNNNNNNNNNNNNNNNNNNNNNNNNNNNNNNNNNNNNNNNNNNNNNNNNNNNNNNNNNNNNNNNNNNNNNNNNNNNNNNNNNNNNNNNNNNNNNNNNNNNNNNNNNNNNNNNNNNNNNNNNNNNNNNNNNNNNNNNNNNNNNNNNNNNNNNNNNNNNNNNNNNNNNNNNNNNNNNNNNNNNNNNNNNNNNNNNNNNNNNNNNNNNNNNNNNNNNNNNNNNNNNNNNNNNNNNNNNNNNNNNNNNNNNNNNNNNNNNNNNNNNNNNNNNNNNNNNNNNNNNNNNNNNNNNNNNNNNNNNNNNNNNNNNNNNNNNNNNNNNNNNNNNNNNNNNNNNNNNNNNNNNNNNNNNNNNNNNNNNNNNNNNNNNNNNNNNNNNNNNNNNNNNNNNNNNNNNNNNNNNNNNNNNNNNNNNNNNNNNNNNNNNNNNNNNNNNNNNNNNNNNNNNNNNNNNNNNNNNNNNNNNNNNNNNNNNNNNNNNNNNNNNNNNNNNNNNNNNNNNNNNNNNNNNNNNNNNNNNNNNNNNNNNNNNNNNNNNNNNNNNNNNNNNNNNNNNNNNNNNNNNNNNNNNNNNNNNNNNNNNNNNNNNNNNNNNNNNNNNNNNNNNNNNNNNNNNNNNNNNNNNNNNNNNNNNNNNNNNNNNNNNNNNNNNNNNNNNNNNNNNNNNNNNNNNNNNNNNNNNNNNNNNNNNNNNNNNNNNNNNNNNNNNNNNNNNNNNNNNNNNNNNNNNNNNNNNNNNNNNNNNNNNNNNNNNNNNNNNNNNNNNNNNNNNNNNNNNNNNNNNNNNNNNNNNNNNNNNNNNNNNNNNNNNNNNNNNNNNNNNNNNNNNNNNNNNNNNNNNNNNNNNNNNNNNNNNNNNNNNNNNNNNNNNNNNNNNNNNNNNNNNNNNNNNNNNNNNNNNNNNNNNNNNNNNNNNNNNNNNNNNNNNNNNNNNNNNNNNNNNNNNNNNNNNNNNNNNNNNNNNNNNNNNNNNNNNNNNNNNNNNNNNNNNNNNNNNNNNNNNNNNNNNNNNNNNNNNNNNNNNNNNNNNNNNNNNNNNNNNNNNNNNNNNNNNNNNNNNNNNNNNNNNNNNNNNNNNNNNNNNNNNNNNNNNNNNNNNNNNNNNNNNNNNNNNNNNNNNNNNNNNNNNNNNNNNNNNNNNNNNNNNNNNNNNNNNNNNNNNNNNNNNNNNNNNNNNNNNNNNNNNNNNNNNNNNNNNNNNNNNNNNNNNNNNNNNNNNNNNNNNNNNNNNNNNNNNNNNNNNNNNNNNNNNNNNNNNNNNNNNNNNNNNNNNNNNNNNNNNNNNNNNNNNNNNNNNNNNNNNNNNNNNNNNNNNNNNNNNNNNNNNNNNNNNNNNNNNNNNNNNNNNNNNNNNNNNNNNNNNNNNNNNNNNNNNNNNNNNNNNNNNNNNNNNNNNNNNNNNNNNNNNNNNNNNNNNNNNNNNNNNNNNNNNNNNNNNNNNNNNNNNNNNNNNNNNNNNNNNNNNNNNNNNNNNNNNNNNNNNNNNNNNNNNNNNNNNNNNNNNNNNNNNNNNNNNNNNNNNNNNNNNNNNNNNNNNNNNNNNNNNNNNNNNNNNNNNNNNNNNNNNNNNNNNNNNNNNNNNNNNNNNNNNNNNNNNNNNNNNNNNNNNNNNNNNNNNNNNNNNNNNNNNNNNNNNNNNNNNNNNNNNNNNNNNNNNNNNNNNNNNNNNNNNNNNNNNNNNNNNNNNNNNNNNNNNNNNNNNNNNNNNNNNNNNNNNNNNNNNNNNNNNNNNNNNNNNNNNNNNNNNNNNNNNNNNNNNNNNNNNNNNNNNNNNNNNNNNNNNNNNNNNNNNNNNNNNNNNNNNNNNNNNNNNNNNNNNNNNNNNNNNNNNNNNNNNNNNNNNNNNNNNNNNNNNNNNNNNNNNNNNNNNNNNNUUGUAACAAUUGCACUUAAGCCCCUCCUCUUGUUUCCUCUUGAACUGCCCAGACUGGGCAUUUUUCGCCUUCGGGGACCGGUCUCCCCGACUAGGGACCGGUUCCCGAACGGGGAUUUUCUAGGACUUAGCCAAAUUUUUUAGCCUCUCAGCUGUUGCGCAGUGAGGAACCGGUCUGCCCAUUAGGGACCGGUCUCCCGAGGACCGGUCUCACCAUCAGGGACCGGAUGCCUCAGGAUUUCCUGGCAGGCUACGCGCACGGGGACCGGUCUCUCCUUCAGGGACCGGUCCCCGAGAGCUCAAAAUCUGGGACUUAGCCAGAUUUCUAAAUUUGCUCUCCGGGCCCCUUUUUACUCCGUUUAUGAACUCCAAUACACUUUGGGUCCACUUUAACUCGUUCCAUUUCGCGUUCCGCUCGUUUUGACGGAACUCGGUACGAUUUACGAGGGAUGUGGUAUGUUACAUUCUCCACCCCUAAAAUUUAGUUUCGUCCGCGAAACUACUUAGACUCGAAUUUAAAUUUGUUACCUCACUUCGGAUCCUCGAAGAGGUGAGGAUAACGCUCCCUCAUUUUGCUUUCGAGCUCCCACGUUUCUUUCCGUUCAUCGUGUUCGCACCAAUGAACUUUAACAUACGGGAUUUCGCGGUUCCGAAGCUUUCGCACCNNNNNNNNNNNNNNNNNNNNNNNNNNNNNNNNNNNNNNNNNNNNNNNNNNNNNNNNNNNNNNNNNNNNNNNNNNNNNNNNNNNNNNNNNNNNNNNNNNNNUGUCUCUAAGUGAUGUCCCAACAAUCACUUGCUUAGUGCCUCUUUAUGACACUUAAGCAUCACACUGAUCAAGCCCAAUUCUUGUUCUAUGUUUCAUUUAAACAUUAAUACCAAUGAUUACUAUAGCCCGGGCCCAAUGCCUCUUUAUGACAUUGACCCAAAAUCCCAAAUAAUCUAAGUCCCCAAGCCUCUCUAGGCUUCUAAAGUCCCUAAUGUUACAAUUGGGCAUUAAGGUAAAAUGCAUAAAAGUAAUGUUCAUUUUCAAAUAGGGAUCUUAGUUUCAAAGCUCAAUCAAAAUGCUAUAUCACUCAUGCAUACUCUCUACUACAUAGAGGUCCAAAAUUUUACUAUGUGUAACAUAGGCACUUUAAGCAUUCUAAAAUUCACAAUAAAUACAUAUAACAAGAAUAUGCAUGCUUUUUCAUUUUAUAACACAUAAAUCAACAUCAAUGAGAUUUUUCCAUUGUGUGGCUAGGUCAAACCCACCGAACCGUCGCGUGCUGCCUCGAUUCGCCGAACGAAGUUGUCCACAAGUCCCAAAAUAUCCUAAAAGUAUCGAGCGAAGAGAUACACGGGCAUUACGAUCAACUAUAAGAUCAAACUUUAACAAACAUAGCAAAAGGGCUAAAACUCACCUAAUGUGUAGGAAAUCUCUCUCAAGCUCCAAAAGAGAGCUAAAUCCCUUCCAAUCCAAGCCCAAGGAAGGUUAUAAUCCAAUCAAUCUAGCCUCAAAAGCCCUAAAUCAAAAAGCCCCAAAAAUCAACCCUAAUAUCAAUUCUAGGGUUCCAUAUGGUAAAACCUACCAAAUCAAGGAUCAAAGGGUAGAAUCCAAGUACUAACCUCCCAAGAUGCCUCCAAACAAGCUCCAAAUCUUCUAGGGUUGAAGAUUGGUCCACCACCAAGCUCUACAAGCAAGCUCCAAGCCAAGCAAGGGUGGAAAGGAAAGAAAGGGGGUUGAGCUCCAAGCUCCCUCAAGCAAGCUCCUCUUCUUCUUCUCCUCCUUCUUCUUCUUCUUCUUCUCUCUCUAAGAGGUGUAGGGAGAGGGUGAGAAUGAGAAAAUGAGAGAGGGAAGAGGAGGAAAUGGCUAAUAAGCCCAUCUAGUGUAACAAAAUCUGGAGAGGCCCCUCAAAAACUCAAAUUUACAUCAGCCCGAACUGGGCAGUUUUCGCCCAGAGGGACUGGUCUCUCCCCAGCAGGGACCGGUCUCUCGCUGCGAACCCGAAAAUCCAACGUUCGGGAACCGGUCUCUCCCUUUGCAGGACCGGUCUCUCACUCCGAAGACGCGCUCGGGGACCGGUCUCGCCCAUCAGGGACCGGUUGCCUCGAGGCCGCCGCAACACUCCUCACUGGGGUACUGGUCUCUUCUUCCAGGGACCGGUCCCCGAGAGUAAAAACUCUCAGGACUUGUCCAGAAUUUCAGUUUUCGAACUUUUUAAGUCGGAAAACAUUCCACAACCCUCCACCAAGUGUGGAAAAGCUUGAAAUACAUCCUAACACUCGAACCUCGCAAUUUGCAAAGGUCCAGUGUGUUACAUGAGAAAACUAGGGAACUGUGAAAUUCCGUAUGUUAAGGUACAUUAGAGCGAACACGACGAUAGGGAAGAGACUUGGGAGCUUGAGGACAUGAUGAGAGAGCGUCAUUCCCAUCUCUUUGCGAAUCUGGAUUAAGGUAUGGAUCGAGACUUCAAUUAAAUAGUUUCGCGGAUGAAACUAAUUUUAAAGAGUGGAGAAUGUAACAUAUUGAAAUCUCGAGAGCGAUUAUCGAACUUUACCCAAAUUGGAUUAAAGUGCCGAGAGAACUGGUUGGACAAGUUCCAUUUAGCAUUCCAAUAAGGUUGGAAGGGCUAAAAAUGAGUUUAAGAAAGGUUAGAAAGGUUUUAGCAUCGACCGGCGCGAAGUAGAGUCAAAACGAUGCAAAAACUGCAGUCUGGACAAAGUGUACCGGUACAACAUAAAUGUUGUACCGGUACAAAAUGGCUGACCGAGAGAAGGUUGCUCUCGAGUUUGCCUCUGCGCGAUCGUGUAACCAGUGACAGAUGAAAGUGUACCGGUACACUUUGGUCUGGCAGCAACUUUGAAGUCUGUUGUAAAUAAGAAUUGUUGAGGGGCCUAGCUACAAUUGUGACACACGAUAUAUGACCCCAUCCCUCCCCUUUCUUCACAGCAGCAAGGAUAUCUCUCUUCCUCUCAUUUUCUCUCCCCCUCUCCCUCUAGAAGCUUUGCACCAAAGCAAAGGAGAAGGAGAAGAAAGCUUGGAGGAGAUAUUUUGGAGGUCUAAAAGGCUUUAGAAGCUCUCCAUCAAGGUGGAACUUGGGAGGAGCUUAGGGCUAAGGUGAGUUUAUGCAAGAACAAUUCUAGGGUUUGGAUUUCCACCCUAAAACUUAAGAGUUUUGACCUUCUCUCAUGUUUAGAAGCUUAGUUGAGACCUUGAAUACAUGAAAUCCAUGGUUUUCUCAAGGUGCUCCAAUGGUGAACUUCUAGGGUUCAUAUUAGAUGCCCUAGGAAUGGUUCAAAUAGCUUAGGAAUGGUAUUAGAGAGUUUUCUAGAUGAUUUUAAGCUAGUAUUUGCUUAGUUCCAAUAUCAAUCUAGGAAAAAUCCAUAUAUGGCAUUGUUAGGGCACCAAAUUUAGGGCUUUUGCCUCCGAUCAUUUUCGAGGUAAAUUGACCUCAUGGAAACCUAAUUAGGGAUAUUUCCGACGAGUUGGUGCGCUCGGUUCGGCCAAACGAAAAAACUAUGUAAUGGUUCUUAGUAAAAAGCCUAAUUUGGCCCUAAUUUGGUACAAAUCAUUGUAGCACCUAGAAUAUGAGCCCUAAAAUCACGAGAAUCGAACCACAACUCCUCUACUACUAUUCAAGGUGUGGGGUGCAUUCCGGAAUCGUUGAAUUCCCUUCUAUGUCUAUGUCACACUUUAUUGAGCAUAUACAUGUAUAGUACCAUUCAUGCAUAAUAGGGUAAAUUACAUGUGAAUAUUGGUUGGACUUCAAUUAUAUGUUUCUAACGUAGAUGAACAUUGAGAUUGAUAUAACCAUAGUGGACAUGUAUGUUGGAACCCUAUACUUGUAUGUAUGUGAGGCCGGGACUAUGCUAAUGGUAAACAAAGGUGACAUUGACAAUAGAGACAAAAUUGGCAUCGAGAAAUGACUCGUUAAACAAGGUUUAACCAUUAAUGGCAUUGUGCCAAGAAUGACCUAGGAAGUGGCAUGAAUAAAUAGGUAGAAGCCUAUUAUGAUAGUGACAUUAUGGCUAGUGGCUAUACAUUCCUUAAGUGGGAAUUGGAUCGAUACUCACGAUAAGUCUUGGCUUGGGGGAGGUAGCUCCCCCUCAAGCGGUGUGUUCCGGAAUUGUCACCACGGGGAGCGUGGGCCCCGAAGACGGUCCCUCGGGUCUUGUAGUGCUUAGAGCCUCCCCGAAUGAAAGGAAUUUUGGGUUGUGAGCUAUUUGGGUUAACAAGGUUAACCGGUAAGAUUAGGUAAAAGCCAAAGUAUACUUAUGAAAAGAGCAUGCAUGCAUAAGCAUUCUAUAUUGAUUAUAUAUCCACUGACAGUUUUCUUGCAGGCAUAGUAUUAGUAUUAGUAUUGGUUACUAUUUCUCUUUCUUUGAAAUACUUAUGCUUAAGUAGACCUAGUGGGUAAGUCGGCGAGGUCGGUUGCCGAACCCACUGGGAACUUCGUUGUAGUUCUCACACUACUAACCCUACAGAUCCGAGCGCGAGCGGGGCGGCGGAGGAUCGAGGUAAGGGUAUUGCGCCAUAGCUAGUAGCCACCGGAGUACUUGCAUACAGUCAUUCCCUUUUUGGUUCAUGUAUCAACUUUCUUUUGUUGAUCUAAAGAUGUAAAAGUUGUAAACAUUCAUAUAUUUUGGGAGAAUGAUUAUGAUGUAAAAAGAUAUUAUGAAUGAAAGGAAAUGGAUGUAAUAGUUUUUAGUUUCCUAGUAUUUGGUUUAAAUGUAAUCAAAUAUUAUGUAUGGUUGUAUGUUGUACCUUAGAGCUUUCGGUUCCGUUGUUGCUUGCCCUCGUGCAAGCCUUGUAUAAUUGCAAAUCUCAUUGUUUGAUUGUUUUAUUAUACUUGUUGCUAGAGCCUUGGGCGGGCAGGGGAGGCCCUGUCCGUUCGGCGUCUGUUGACGUGGCCCGAACUGUCACGCCCCGCCCCGAAACCACUACCAAUUUGGCACGAUUCGGCCGUGGCGACGGACCACCGAACGAACAGCACCUCCCCUGUCCGCCCAAGGCUCAACAACAGGAAUGUGUACAAGAAUUUACCCAGGACUUUAAAUUCUAAACAUACACAUUCAAUGUGGGCACAAACAGUGCCAACAACAAGAAGAGCAAGUAAUCCACAAGAUAUACGAGUGAAAUAAAGAGAGUACUUUACUAACUAUUACAAUAGUUGCAUUCUUUGCAUUUACAUCAUUUUCCAAAAUGAAUACAUUUGAUCCUCAAAAUACAUAGCUCUCCAAUCUUACCUACAUGAAUAUCUCCCAAUACAUAGGUGUGCUAAUGCAAAAGGAAAGCUACUAUACUACCACGGCCUCACUGAUCGGGUGCGAUGCCCUUGCCGCGGCCCUCCCUCGACAAUCCUGAACCUACCACUGGAAAUAGAGUGGGGUGAGAACUAUCUUCCAUAGUUUCCAGUGGGCUCGGCCGCCAACUCUGCCGAUCUCCCCACUAGGUCCAAGUGGGCACAAGUAACAACAGAUAGAUAGAUAGAUAUGUAUCUGAAAGCUGUAAAUGCAGUAGUAGGAAAAACUAUGCUACUAUGCCCAUAAUCAUAAGUAUGAAUGCAUGCAUCAUAUAAUAAAGGUUUGCUAUCAUGCUAACAAAUUCGAUCCAUGUUCGAAUGGCUAUGUUCAAUGACAUUUAUUAACCUUUAACCUUUCAUUUACCCAAUCUGUGGCGAGGCCCUAGGGCUCGCCCAUAACUCAUCUUUCAAUCCCAAAGUGGGGAGGGAGCUCCAAGUGCACCCAAGCCCGGGACCGUCUGCGGACCUCCAUGUGGUCCGGACCUCCAAGUGGUCCUAGUCGCGCGACACUCCGGAGUACUCGACGACAAUCCCCUCCAUGUGGGGAUUGGAUGGCUAUACCAUCCUAAACGCAGACUGUGAGCUAGAUCUAUCCUCUCCAAGUGAGGAUACACUAUCACUAGGGUCAACAACCCAAUCCAAUCCUCUCCAAGUGAGGAGGCUCUACAACUAGAGUCAAUAACCCAAUCGAAUCCCCUCCAAGUGAGGACGCCCUACUCUAGCGUCAACGACUAUCGCGGACUCAUCGGUUCCCGACAUUCAUGCAAUGCUAUUUAGUUUUCUAAAUUCAUUGUUCACAAGGCAUUUUCUAAGGGAUCCACCUAUCCCUAGGUCCAUCGACCUCUAGUGUCAUAUACACUACAUUAAUGCCACUCGUUAUCAUUUUACAUUUGGAUGCCACUCGUUUGUUCUUUGACAAUAACAUUACUUUCUAUGUCAUCAACACCCCCAUCGGGUUCAUCUCUAUCUUUAGUAUCAUAGGAUCCACGUUCCGACCCAAUCCUCACCUAUCUAAGUUACCAAGCGUUCCAAGUACACUAGGUUAUCAAUUAGAAAGCAUAAGGAAUGGAGCUACUAUGCAAUCCUACAAUGCAACAUGAAGAGAUAAGAUCAAAUGCAAUCUAAGACAUAGAAAGGAGUCCGAAAGCUUUGGGAUGGCACCCCCCACCAUUUACCAACGUAGAGGCUCUAGAAACGUUCCUCGGCGAGCUUUACGAAAAGGCUUUAGCCUUCCUCGGUCCAAGAUAAUGCCGUAACGACCGUAAUUCGCCGAUUGCUCUAAGCCCGCUAGACGAAUCACGAAAUCAACUUCGCCCCCGCGUUUGGGCACCUAUCGAUGAGGUUUACAAGGCCUCAAAUGAGAUCAAUCUCAUACUUUACAAAAUUCCCCCAUUUGGAGCCCUAGGUUGCACAUAUAGCAAACCACCAGUAGAACCUUAAAUUCAUGGGAUUGAUCUACUUAGAAGCAUGCCUGGGGUCCAUUUGACCCAUUCCAAAGCAUAAAACCCAAAAACCCUAAGUUUACAAAGUUAGGGUUUAGUAGCUUACCUUAAGAGCUACAACCAAUAGGAAAAGGAGAGGGAGAUGGAGGUGCUCAACGCCUUCCUCUUGAUCUCCUUCUUCUUCUCCUUCCUUAUCUUCCUCUUCUUUUCCUUCCUCUCCUUCUUGUUCUUCUUCUCCUUCCUCUCUUUCUUGUUCUUCUUUUCCUUCUUUCCUUUCUAGAGAGAGAGAGGGAGCAAGAGAGAAAUGAGAGUGAGGGAGAGAGUGGAAUGAGAGAGGGUGUGAGGGAGAGAGAGGGCUCAGCCCACUCUAAUAAAGGCCAUUUUGCAUUUAGACCCCUCAACUUUUCAUCCCCUGCACAGCCUUUACUGGGCAGUUUUCGCGCGGAGGGACUGGUCUCCCCGACUUGGGACCGGUCCCCGAGACCUUCCCUCGGGCGCACGCGUUCGGGAACCGGUCUCUCCCCGGGAGACCGGUCCUCACCUGAGAGACCGGUCCCCGAGAGCUUGAUUCUCAGGACUUAGCCAAUUUCUUGGCAUUUCUCGCUGGGACAACGUUCGGGAACCAGUCCCUCCCUGCCAGGGACCGGUUGCAUCAAGCAACCCCGCAACACCCGGCCAAGGGAACCGGUCUCUCACCUCCAGACACCGGUCCCCGAGAGCAACAUCAGCCCCAUGAUGCAAUUUGCAUCAUUCGCUCUCGUGGACUCAACUCCAAAGCACUUUUUACGUUUUGGACAUUCUUAACUCCCACAAAGGGGUAUUCUCUCGACAGUCAGUAGAUCCUGGAUGAAGUACAAUCAUCAGAUUUCGAGAAUUCACUUUCUUACACGAACCCGACCAAAUUGGCGGGGAGCGGCACGUGACAGAUGGCUUUUUGAAUACCACCGCAUCGGCCAUCUUGAUGUCCUCGAGCUGCAACUGGGCACAACCAGCUCCUCUUCAUACUAAGGCUGCUUCUCAGCCUCUUCCGACUCUGCCUGGAAUGAACACAACAAUGUGUACACCAUGUCCACAUCAGCGAACUCCCUUCGGCUAAAAAUUUUCCAAUCCUCUAUGUUUUUCGUUAGAUUCUCUCACUGCUUUGGUCGAAGAUUCACUCUCUAGCCUAACCUCUCUCUCUUUAGCUGGCCAUCGCUCUCAUUUGACGAUGGUUUCCAUAGAAGCGAUCUUAUAUUCUAGCUCCUUGCAGGUGACUUGCUUCGUCGGCUCCACCACAACCGACUGCACUACCUAGGAUUUAAACUGAAAGUUUUGAGGAGCCCAAGAAUCUAUCUAGAUUGUAUCUAUCACCUAGAGGGGGGUGAAUAGGUGUAAUAACCAAAAACCACAAAUCUCGAUGCAAUAAAAAUAAAUGCGAAAAAUAAAAAGCACACCGAGAUUUACGUGGGAAAACUCCAAUUUGGAGAAAAACCCACGGGACCAACACGUGAAAAAACAAUCCACUCAGAGAAAAGAUUACAAGGUGAUUUACCGACUCCACGGACUCAACCUCUCUUGACCUCCUAUGGAUCUCGCGCAAUCCUCUGGGUUGUCCACGCCCUCACGUCCGAAUCCACGAACGCCCCGACUUCGAAUCCACGAAGCUCCAAUCACGCCGAAUCCACGACGCCACUCGAAUCCACGAGCCCACGAUCCGAAUCCACGAACCGCCGUCAAACACGCCGAAUCCACGACGCCGUCAUGAAGAGCAUCAUGAUUAUGGUGAUCCUUCGCUUAGGAGUAUCGUAGAAAACCAGGGAAAAAAACUCCAAGCAAAGCGGAGAUCAAAUCGGCAUAUAGAUAUCAAAAUACAAUAUUCCGAUUUGACCUAAAAAGAGGCUAAUAUGUAGAAAAUAGGUUUUAGAUGAAAUCCAAGCCUCUAGGGUUUCUCAAACAUGUAUUCUUAUGAUGCUUGAUCUGUUAGAGAAGCCCAAUAGCUUAUUUAUAGACUUUAGAAUCAAUUGGAGUCGGAUUAGAAAGAUUUCACGAUUUUACACUGUGUACCGGUACACUUUAGGCUGUCACCGGUUACACAAUGACGGAACGAAAAACCUGACGAAACAGUGGAACCGGUUACACCCUUGAUGGUCGUACCGGUACACAUUUUGUACCGGUACACUUCUGAUGCUGUACCGGUACACUUUGCAAAUUUUCGCCGUUUUGGAUUUUGCAAAGUUCCAAUGCACAUUCUAAUCCGUUAGACAUUGAUAACAUGAUUCUAAUGUCUACAACUAAGUAUGAAUCACCAUAACAUGAAUUUAUACUUUACCUGAGCAUCGUGAUUCAUAUCGUGAGUUAUUUUCCAACUUCUUCGAAAUCUUGAAUUCUUCGAUCUUCGACGAUAUGCACCAGUUCUUCAAGACUCCGACUCACUUCACGAAACUUGCCAAUACACAAGACUUAACAUAAACCAUAGCAGGGAAUUCGAGCCGCCCGCCUCACCAUCGUUCUUCAUAAGCUGAGGAGGCAAUAGUUGCCUAGGCCGUUUCCAAGUAUUCGGCCUUAUUCUCUUCUCUUCUUCCUAAUGAUGUCUUAUCUCGGCUUGCACUCUCUAUUGCUGCUGUUUUUGAGUUUUCGUAAGAAUCGGCUUGUACCAUCUGGCUAUUGCCCUCGCUAUGAACCAUUGGUUGGUUGGUACGUUUGUUGGCGCUUUCACUAUCCUGAGGAGUUCUCUUAGGAUGUCCCUCCUUUCCCAUGGCCUUAGCCAUGGCUGUAUUCCAAGCUCAUUCACUAACCUCCGACCAAGAGCUUCUAUUUCUCCCUCGAUCAUUCCUUCAAAUUUUGGUUUCGGUCUCGACCGUGGGUGUUGGUACCACAUUGGUCGAUAUCCCUAGUUCUUCUGUUGAGUGCCGAUAGGUUUCCUUGGAUAACCCUCAAGCCAGUCUUCUCCCUAGUUUGGUAGUACUCAUUCAGGACUUUUUGGAUCGGCAAGUACCUCAAGCCCUUUUCGGAGUUCACCUCCUCUUUGAAGUCACUGGAUGCCUCCUCCGAGCAUUCGUCUGUGUGGCCGAUGGCCUCUGGUAUGUCCUCCCAUUCUUUAGGGAAGGCGAUGAACUCCUUCUAAUCUCCGUAUGCCUUCUUCUCGCAUACGAUUGCUUCCCAAUCCUGACACAUCAUUUCGAUUUUGCACCUAAUGCAAAAUCGAAGCACUUUCUUGGUUUUAGCCACAUCUUUCUGAAAUCUAUCCUUUUAGAGUGACUUCUUCCUCUUGACGUCUAUCAUGUUAACCUACGUGGAAAAAGGGUUUUGGUCAACUUCCAAACUAUUUUUAUUUUCUUGGUCGGCAAAAACCAGCCGACCUUUAUUUAUUUUCUUUUGUAUAUGCCUCUUAAAGGCUAUACAGUUAUUAGUCUUGUGGCUCCAUGAAUGGUGUCACUUGUAAUACAUUCCCGCUGGAGAUGCUUGGGUCAUCUCGAGCUGAACCUUCUUUGAUGAAAGAGAUGUUCUUUUUUUUUCAUUAUUCCAUUCUUUGUUUCAGCCCCAGUGCGGCCAAUCAUCCUCAUUUUCCUUUCUUGCUCAUAUUGGGCAACCCGGACGCCCAAAUCAAACAGGUUAGGAAAAUAUUUAUCUUUGAAAUGGUACUUUAUUUUAAAGUGCGGACCAUUGAAUACUAUUUUAGCGAACUUUGAUUCCGGCAUCUUUAUAAAGCAUCGAUUUCAAGCCAUUUUGAAACGGUUCAUGUAUUCUUCGAUCGUUUCCCCUGAUUUCUGUCUGUAAAAGCUAGAUUGACCACCGAUAAUUCGGAUUUUGAUUUAUAAAGCUGCUAGUGAAACUUACACUCCAAUUCGUCCCAAUCUCGAAAGAAAUUGGCGGGAAAGCUCGUGUACUAGGUAAACGUCAUUUUAGUUAAUGAUGUGUUGAACAACCAAGCUUCAAGAAUGGGUUAGCCGUCGCUUCCCUGCACCGGGCCAUGAACCAAGUGAUAUGCUCUAUCAUAUUCUCUAUCUCCUCGCUCAAGAACUUAUCAAACUUCGGCAUCGUCCAGUUUGCCAGAUACGGAUAUUCCGCAUCUAUAUUAAUAAGAUAUGGGGACCUAAACACGAGCCGCAUUGCCUGCCUAGCUGAACGUAUUUUGGCUCACCUCUUCUAUUUUAGCAUGCAACUCAUUGUUUCCCGCUAGUGGGGCGGGAAUUGGGUUGGAAUAUCGUUUGGCUCUGGAGUAUGUCGGUAGUUUUGCACUACAGGGUUAAGUCCCUGCGCUGCAUUAGGGCCUCGCCCCAAGCCCUCACAUCCACAUUUCGGGGCUGAUAGGCAGGUAAGAGAGGUAGCAAAGGUAAACCCCAUGUGAUUUUCGGCUGUGGGCCGGCAUUUACAUUCGCCAGCGUAUAGGUAGCCUAAAAAGGUGCAAUCUGGGGUUGUGCCUGCAGACCUGCCAGCGCAAUAGGAUUUUGUUGCACCGUCAUGGCUAGGGGUCCUUGUGGACCCCAGUAUGGUUGCUCAUUCCAAGCUAACAAUUGCCCAAUAGGAGCGAUGUUCUCGUUGGAGGUCGUGAUGACGGCCAGCACCGUAUCUAAAAGGGAGGUACUAUGGUGGCUGCUCUGAUCCAGAGUCUGUAGGCUUGGGUCAUUUGCCCAAGCUGCUGAGUUAGGCUUGACUCUUAACGAGCUGAGUGCCCACUACUUUCACAUUCUGACUACAACGCCGCCUGAUGCUUAUUCGCAUUUUUGGUGUUACCGAUCUAGUUGUUCCCUGAGGGUCUGGGACUGGCCCUAUUUCAGUGGUUCAUCAUAUUAUCGUCAACCAUUUGGAAGAGAUUGGAAUGUAGCUGAGCGGGUCCCACCGGGCUUGCUGUGUUAGGAACUGAAUGCGGGGCGACACCGAUCGUACCAGGGUGUUCACCCGGUCAAGUUUUUCCUCGAGAUGUGAAUUUGCUGCUUAGUUGACCCUCGAGUGCACCACUAACAAAUCAAGCGACUCGGCUGAGGAGGGAUCGGCUCAACCGGGUUCUUACGCAACUAUUGACAAUUAUUCCAACACAAGGUCGGUUGAAUGAGCUGAGCGGUUUGUACUUAUUAGGGAAGCAGGAAUAAAAGUGUUGUUACAGAAAUAAAUCUAUUCCUAAGAACACUACCUCACUACACUCUUAGCUAAGCUCUUAAACAGGAAGUUAAAAAGAAAAUCUAUGGAAGAAAAUCUAUAGGAACUAACUUGUCGAAAAACUAUAAAUGACAAAAAAAAAAAAAAGAAAUUGAAAUUUGUUGUGAUCUUUUACUCAUGUGAAGGAACUCCUCUUACAGGCGUCUUCUCUUUAUUUAUAGUCCCGCCCGUCAUUUAUUUAGUUAUUCCCCAUUAUCGUCCAUAUCCCUAAUUCUGCGGAUCACUUUUGGCCGAUCUUAACUGCAUCGAUCUUAACCACUUUUCGAUUUUUAGAUGCGCUCUUCUCUACACCUGGCGCACUACAUGUUACUUAUCUUUGGCCUCGGGAGUUGUUUUCAUGUGGUGUAUCCUGGUUCACCACGUGGCGCAAAUUUUAUGGCGCCAAUAGGAGCCGAUUGUCAAUUUUAAGAACCUAGUAUCGAAAACGACUUGAUAGAACGUAGGCCAUCGUACUUCUAAAAGCAUACAAGCCAAACUCUCUCUUCCUUUCUCUCCCGUCCUCUCACUCUCUUUCUCUCUCGAAUUUUGAAUCUUUAUUCCAAUUUUAAAUGAUUAUUUAUGGCUGAUUCUAUUUUUUAUUUAAUUUAUUUUCUAAAUUUGAUUUGUUUCUAUGUAUGUUUUCUAUUUAGUUAUACCAUAAAUAUUUUUUAUGUCACGCCCUAUAUUACUCGUUUUUCCGGGCACGCCGACAAAUCCGCCAUAUACAAAGGAAUUUUUUCUGUACACGAAACGAUAGCUGUAUCUGUACUUGUAAUCAUACAACACUACAACCAGUAGUAUAGAGCUGUUAAAAGAAACAUAUAUAAAUAACCUCGGUUCAACAUACAUACAUAGUAUCCUGAUACAAAAAUCACUCGCUCCAGCGAGGCACUAACAUCAGUAUGUAUAAGAACCAAAAACUACAACUACCUGUAGUUGGUAUAAAUCUCUAGGUCAGCAGCAACUGGGAAGGGAUCUAGCUCGCGACUCCCUUUCCACGAUCCGAAUCAGCAACAGCAGCAGCCGAAGACGAAGGCUCUGCAAAAAGGAUCCACAACUGGGUGUGAUAACUACUGCAAAGAGAAGUAGUUCUCAGUGGGUACCACCACCGACCUCAACGGCUCACCGACUAAGUCUACACAAGGUAUGCUCAAAGAUAGUAAGAAAACUGAAAUAAUCUACAGCUAUAUGCCACUAUACUAUCCUGAUCCAGCAUUAACUAUCUGUAGAAAAUGCAAAUCCUGACCCAAUCUCACAAGGGAUUGUGAACACACCCGUCCCACCUGUCGAAGCUACACUAACUGCCACCACGCUAGGUCGUUAGUGGAGAGCAAGUCCAAACAGGACAAACCGACAUCAACGCAAAAGCACUAAGCCUGACUCCGGAGUGGCACUUGUGGGCGCUAUCCAACCGAGUAUGUAAGCGUUUCUCUACCGAGCUCAAUCAGGCUCUCACAGGCUGUAAUCAAAGUAGAAGGAUCUAACAGGUCGAACAACCAUGGUAAACAUGCCCUUGGCACAACCUGAUACAAAAACAGUAAACCGGGUCCACCGUCAACCACAACGGCACCCAACAGUCCGGAACAGUCUAUAGACUACUUUAAAAAUAAGCUCGGCAUCCCAGCACGAGCGUAAAUGCAUUCUACACUAUUCUGAGUAUCCACUGCCCACCAACUGCGGCGAUACAAACAAACUACUGCUCCUAGAGCGAAAUCCGAUAGUUUCAGAAAAUGACAGUGUAGAAUCAAUAGUUUUCUCCUAAGUCAAUUCCAAAUCCAACAUGUAUAGGUUAGCUAACAUUUUAAACUCCAAAUUCAGAUUCCAAAGCAUGCAAAUCAAUGAGUUUGAGCUAAUUAACAAAUCUACAAAACUAACAAUACAUACUGACAACACUAGACUUAGGAGGAAAUCCGCAGAAUCCGAUAAGCAUAAUAUUAACCCACCUCAAGCGCAAGUCCAGCAAGGUUAGAAAGUUGCUGGAAUAAGCCCUGCCAAGCUCAGCCACGAACUAGCACACUCCUAUCAAAAGAUCUACCACAAGAGCACCAAAAUUGUAUCAAUACCCUCAAUUUCAGCACUAAAGCUUAAUUCCUCCAAUUCUAAUGUCAAAACUCACCUUUCAAACCUUAAAUCCACAAUUCAGGUGAAGAACACUCUCAAACCAGUAGGGAAAGGUGGAGCAAUAACCUCUGGUCGAAAAUCCAGCUUCCUCCAAAGAUUGAACCAGGAAAACCAAGAAAAACCCAAGUUUCAGCUCUAAUACAGCAGCAGUUUAGAAAAAUAGCAAAUUGACCAUACUAACCUCAAUCAAUUGCGGUCAAAAUAGGCUCCACGAAAUCUCCAAGAAGUCUACUAACCACCAAAUCAAGUUUCGCAGCAAACCGACCUUCGUACGUCACACACGAGCCAAAACGCCAAAGGUCGCUGCUGGAAUUCUGUAGGAAUUGCAAUCCUCAAGGUGGAAAUUGUGAAAUUUGGGUAAAUUGGAGUAUUUUGAGGGACUAGAGUGCAAAAUAUAGCUUCACUGUGAAGGACAGGUGAAAAAGCUUCUCAGGGGUCGAACACAAGCCUUUUAUAAAGAGAAGAGUAGGUCUGAUAAUGUAGCAUACCGGAUUUGUUUUAAUAAAAAGUGAAUAUAAAUAGAAAUAGUGUGAGAUACUAUUUUUAUUGGAUUUAGACAAGUAAAUUAUACGUCAGGAUUGACUUGUGCGGAAAUCGGAGUGAAAAUAGAAGAUNCACUAUUUGUAUUUUGAGACUUAUGAUGUACUACUUUACAUUUUACUUUAGUAGUCUAGCUUCUGUGGUUUCUACUGGUUGAUACAACCUAGCUGUAUAAUUGCUCUGAUAUCUCUAGAUAUUCUCUAUUUAUUGUUCUUUAAUUCGUUAUCGUUGUAGACGCCUUAUAUGUGCAGGCAUAUGGCGGGUCUGGGCACGCACCGGGCGAGCCUACGCAGGGUCCCUGGGCGUGACAGAUAAGCCCUAUGACAAAGGAAUACAAACCUGCUUUCCUCCAGGAACGAGCACUUUCGGGCGCCCGAAACCUACUUCUGGGCGUUCGAAACAUCCAGGCCAUACAAAGUUCCCUCUUCGGUUCCUCCGCCUGCAGUACGAUGCGCCCAAAACCUGGUCCGGCGGACCUCACCUACCACCAGACACGUGUCAGCAUAGUCGAUACUCCCAAAGUGAACAUCCGAACCAUCUGGGCACCCGGAACACAGGAUCUGAAUUGGCUUCUAGUUCAGUACAAUUCAGCACUCAAGUUCUGGGCGACCCAAACCAUAUUCUAGGCGUCCGAAACUGGCAAAACUCCAGUUUUGCUUAUUUGAGUGCUCCAAGUCCAUUUCUGCAUCCCCUUCGUGCAAAAACGAUUACGACUCAGUUCGACACUCUCCAGAUGUGUCGACCAGUCACUAAAACUGAAACCAAUCCGAUACCAAAUCCUCGGGAUACUAGAUUUUAUAUGUGGUGUAUAACAUAUAAUUUUUUUUAAUAUAUGCCAAAAAUUUUAAAAAUUAAAUUAAUUCCAAAAUAUAAAUUAAGAUUUAUAUUUAGAUUUAAAUUUAUGAAUCAAACUUAAAAUCUGAAGUUGAUUUUGAAUCCAUUAUUUGAAUUUAAAUAAUUAUUCAUUUAAUUGGUAGGUUUUUUUUAAAUCAUUCUAUUUAAUUUGCAAACCUGAUUUAUAUAUCUUUCUUCUGUUAACUAUUAAAUUAUUUUUUUAAUAUGUAUGGAAUAUUUUUUUUAUUUUAUCUAGAAUUCUCACUGUCAAUUAGAAAAUAUCUAUCCGUUUUAUAAAUAAUAUAGAAAUAGAUAUUUCCAAGCUCGUUCACUAUGCGUAUGUAUUUCCAAGCUCGUUAUACGAUCCAUAAUAUUUAAUUUGGAGGGGUAAGUAAUAAGAGGAAGGAGCAUGCAUGGGCUGAGUAAUAAUAAUAUUGCUUAAAAAUAAUGAAAAUGUAUGCAUUGGAGAAGUCCAACGUUUGCCUUGUCCCCGCUUAUGGUGUCAUGGUAUAACCACUUUAUCGCCGUUGUCCCCGCAUAUUGGUAGGGAAUAAGGGUCGCUUUGACCUUGGUGCUUGAUAUGUAGUAGUACUAUUUGGAUAAAAAUACUAUCUAAGAUUAAUUAAGUAAUAUAUAUAUAUAUAUAUAUAUAUAUAUAUAUAUAUAUAUAUAUAUGAGAUAUAAUAUUAUAUUAAAUUUUCUCAAAAGCUUCUUAAUUAAUUCUUCAGUGAAACGACUGGAAUUAAAGUGCAAAUUAAUUAUAAUUAAUUUUUACACUAAAACAGAAGCUUCAAAAUUAAUUUUCAUCAAAUAUUAUUUAAUUAUCAAUUAAUUACUGCUAUAAAUGAAGAUAGAAACAAAAACAAAUAGAAAAGUGAAAUGCAAGCAUGCAGAUCUAGAAAAUGAGAGAUAUAUAUAUAGAGGAUCUUAAUUAUUAUUGUACUAAAUUCCGAAAAUAAUUUAAUUAAUCCUUUCUAGGCACACAUUCCGCGCUCCUGCUCCCGAAGCUCUUAUGAAAAUUUAAAAGAGAUAGAAAUUAACGCAUCCACCGCACGAUUGAUCUCUCUCCUCUUUUUAAUUUAAUUCAUUAAUUCGCAACCAAACCACUUGCUUGCAUGCUUUCCACCGGUGUCUCUUUAAUUUCCAUCCGACCUCCUCAAUUAAUUAAUUUAAGCAAUGAUAUUAUAUAUACCACGUUCUCCUACAAAUUAAUGUGCGUACAUGUAUAGGCUAGCUACGCCCACUCUCUAGCUAUGAGCAAGUAAAAUAUAAGGAGUACGUGGAAAAGUAGUUGUUUGGAGUGAUCCCAGUGGGGAAUAUUGCAGGAUGGCAUGCAUGCAAGCUCGAUCUAUGCGAAUAUUUUAAUAUUUUAUGCGUGGUAAUUAUGUUGUUCUUUGUUUGGAGUAGAAGAAGCAAAAGCAUUGGUGAAACUUCUAAAGUGGAGGGAUUAAUUGGCUUCGGCUUUUCACCCUUCCCUCAUCAUUCCCCUCACCGCCCUCUCUCCAUGCAUGCCCUUCAAAAAAUCCCAAGGCAUGCAUAUGCAUGCGCCCUCCAUCCUACGCCCCUUUAUUUAUAUGCCCUCCUCCCUCCCUGCUUAAUUCGCUCUCACAAUUAACGCCCCAGUAGUACUGCUCCACCUAUAUACAUCUCUGAUCUACAUCUCUCUCUAGAUCUCUCUAUACCCCCCUGUGCAGGUGCCGUGGGAUUUGAUGAAGGGCUAGCUAGCUGUUUGAUAUAUAUUUUGAGUACUAUAUAUAUAUUAAUUAGAAGAAGAAGAAUUAACUGUAUUCAAUUGUAGCAAAUUGGAGCUUCUUAAUUUUUCUCUGCGGCCCAUGGGGGCUGAAUCUCAUUUUUGCGUCCUGCUGCAACGAAAAUUUCGUAUAUAUUUUCCUGCUGAAUUUGUACAGGCAGAUCUACUUACUUGCCCAGGCUGCUGUACGUUGCUGAAAGUGAAAGCAAAGGUGGGGCCAAACACGUCCGUCCUUAACCCCAUGAGACCACCCUUGACUAAAUUGUAUGGCUUCUUUCUUUAAUUAAUUUCCCUGCCACACCCACCCAAUAUAUAUAUAUAGCUAGCGGGGUGCAACCGAGAGACAAGGCAAUCAGCCUUAGAUCUCCCCUUCAUGAUAUAUACCUUCUGCACCAAUGGCUUCCUUCCUCCACCAUCCCCACAAAUCCGUACGUAUAGACAAAAUAACAUUCUAGCUAGCUAGUGAAGCCCAUAUAGCUAGCUGACCAUUCGCCUGCUGCAACACUAUAGCCCUCAGUAGCAACAAAUUAACUAUCUAUAAACUAUCUAUAAUACAUUGAUAUUGGUGAUCCUGAGUGUGUUUAUGUAGCUAGAAUAGGACCUAUCUAAAUUGAUGAUCUCGGUCGUAAGGUUUUAUUUUCAGGUCAAUUAUAUAUGAAGAUGGUUUUGUUCACGCCAACGCUUGUGCCGUAGAUGCGAUAAGCGAUAUUGGUGAGGUUCAAUCUGAUGGUGGGCUUUACAUGCAGCUGUAAACCGAUCUCGGAUUGAGCCGCGCCAAUAUCUCUUUCUUUCUCUAGCUACACGUGCGCUUCUGACGUGACGAAUUCAGGUUUGUACUUUCUUACUUCUCCCUCUUUUAUCAAUCUUGCACAAUAGUAUAUUAAAUCAAAUUUUCGUAAUGUAUUGGUUCAUUAAUUAAUAUCGUAGAUAAGUGAAAUAAUUGCUUUUGUUAUAUAUUGCUUUGAAUUGCUUUCUCAGUACUGGAUCUUUAGUUCCAUGCAUAAGUAAAGACCUUACUCCUACACUUUCAUAUAAAUAUUGACUUGAAGGUUAUCUGACAUGGUGCAUAUAUAUAUAUAUAUAUAUAUAUAUAUAUAUAUAUAUAUAUAUAUAUAUAUAUAUAUAUAUAUAUAUAUAUAUAUAUAUAUAUAUAUAUAUAUAAUUAAGGUUUAGGAAAAUAUUUGGUAGUAUACUACAUUGACUGAAAUAUUGUGCUUAAUUAUAAUUACCAUGCAUAAUAUAUAUAACUCUAAAAGAGGAACAGAUACAGGUUGAAACCGCUGUUCACGAGUAUAGUGAUGCGUUUUAAUAGUCUCGCAUACAUAUAGCUGCAUUAAUCCGUAUUAGGUAUGUAUUUCCUGUUAUCUUAUUGUUCGUCUUAUCGCUAUUCUUUAGGAGACACAUGCCAUUCAGUUAUAUAUAUAGCAUCCUACAUUUUUUACAAGAUUAAUUGUCAAAGAUAAGCAGAGUUUCUAAUCGAACUCGCCUUUUCCCUUUAAAUAUAUCGUAUUACUUAAAAUUUUAUGAAUUAAAUUUUUUUCAUAAAUUUUAAAUUAUAUUAUAAGAGAUUAGAAUAAGUUAAAAUAAAAAAUAAUUUGAAGGUAAUAAGAAAGGUAUAGAGAAAGAUCCGAGAGAUUAAUUACAUCCAGCAAUGAAAAUUAGAUCAAAAUCUAAAUCAAUAGUAGAACAAAACUAUAUAAAUUGAGCUUGGAAUAUCGUUGAAAAAAGUUGAGCAAAAAUAAUUUAGAGGGAUGAAAAUUUGAUAAAACUAAACUAAAAUAGUAAAAGAGAAAAAUACAGUAUAUUACUAACUGAAUAAAAGAAUAAUUUGCGAGAUUUAGAUCAAAUCCUGUCACCAAACCAAAAUAUAUAAUAAAUGAAAAGAUAAAUGGAUUUUAAUUUAGAGAUUAGAGAGAUCCACACUGUUUCUCUUUUUUAUUGUUUUUAUUUCUCUUUUCUUUUUUGGCGGAAAGAUAUAUAUCCAUACCUGUAUAAAAGAUUAUAUUAAUUAAAAAUUAGAUGAAAAUUUGUAUAAAAAUAGUAAAACGAGCAUUUGCAAUCAAAUUUGACAAAUCUAGAUUUGUAGAUCGAUGUACGAAAAGGAGUUUACGAAGAUCAAAAUUUGUAUCAAACCAAAACAAUAAGUAUUAGAUGAAAGAAAACACUAAAGAUAGGAAAAUAGAAAUUUUGUGCAACGGAUCAUAAACAAACAAUAAUAACAAAUCACUGUUUGCCGUCCCUCAAAAUAGAGUUUCCAAAUCAAGACCUUAAUCCCUUACUAUAUUAUACAUAUCCAAUAUGUAGCUAUGUGGUGUGUCCACAUUGGCGGGUUUUAAUUUAACCCGAUCCACUUAAGAUGUGGAUUGGAAUUUAUCCUAAUAAGUUUAGGAUAAGAAUAAAUCAUAUGUUUCUUAUUAGUUAAAAAACGUAUCUACUAGUGGAUAUCUAUUAUAUGUUAAUAGAUAUUCUGAUCCUUAUCCUAAUCUAUAUGAGAUUCAGGAUAUUUAGGGGUUCCGUUCUUCUAUAUAUACGCCCCCUUUCCUCUCCGGUAAAAGAGACAAUCGCAUACGAUGAACCCAUGAAAUAUCUUCCUUAUUCUCUCUCUUCUUCCUCUCUAGGAUUUCCACUACGUUCCCGGGGUUUCGGAGUGUGGACAUAGAAGAGGACUCUAGUAGCCCUCUUCGAUUGGCAUCCGUCGCAUCAGAUCCGAAAUUUGGAUCCGUGGCGUAAGGCGUACGCGUAGGAGAAGGCGAGAAACGUGGGAGAUCCAGAAGCAUCGAGACAAGGACGAUGCAAGAAGGCUUGUAAAACAAGCAAUCCGAUCCGAUUCGGGUUCCCGGAUACGUUGGCUAUCCGGUUUGUAAGUUUCCACUGUCCUAUUAUUUCCAACAAUUGGUAUCAGAGCCUGCAUGCUUGUUUUCGCCUUAUGAUCAUGUCUGUGAUGUUUUUAAGAUCGCAUUAGUUGAUCAAUUUUUUUGUAGAUUGGUUCUACAAUUUUUUAUUCAGUUUCUAUGUGAAAUCAAUUUAAAAGGAAAAGAAAAAUUAAAUUAGUUUUAAUUUUUUCUUUAAAUUGAUCAGGACAUGUGAUUUUUUUUAAUGUAUGUUAUAAUCUUUUCGUGCUUUAAAAAUAAUAAUGAUAAUAAUAAAAUCGCUGUUUUCGACCAAAGGGGGCUCAACGCGACCCGCUGCGGACGGUGGCGUACACCGCGCGGGCCCGGCCCGCUGCAGACGANGGCGCGCUGUGGGCGCAGUCUGCACCCGCGCGCACCCACUAGGGCCCGGCCCGCUGUAGGUGCGGUCUGCACCCGCGUGCACCCACGCGGGCCUGGACUGCUGCGGGAGCAGGGAGCAACCGCGCGCACCGCGCAAGUCCUGCCCGCUGCGUGCGCAGCCUGCACCCACGGGCACAGCACGGGCCCGGCCCGCUGCGGGCGCGGGCGAGCACCUGAUAGCAGUGAGUGGGGCUUGCGGGCCUGGCCCAGUCCGCCGCGAGCUGCGGGCGGGUUUGCAGGCCCGACCCGGCCUGCUGCGCGCAGGGAAGUGACCCUGUGUGCCCGGCCCGGCUCGCAGCGCAGCGUAUUUUUUUUAAAUAUAUUUUUUAUUUCCUACGUGGUUUUUUUUUGGGAUAUAUAUAUAUAUUUUUUGCUUGUAUGCCAUGCAUGUGUUGUUUGUUUAAUCUAUCCUAUGUGGAUGUUUUUUUUUCGCUUAUGCAGCGUGUGAUUGUAUAAAAUCUUUUGGCAUAUAAGUACUUAUGUUAUUUCUGUGUUCUUUCAACAAAAUUUAAUUUUGGAAAAACGGGUUCGAUGUGUGCAGUAUUCCUGUAGAACAUUCCUUUUUCUGAUGUACAUCUUGUAGUGAUGUAGUAGGUUUUAAUUAUGCAAAAGUGAUGUAGUAAUUAAGGCCAUGUAAAGGAAUGUGUUUUGCGCAGCGUCGACGUUUUUCAAAUUAAAUUUUGGCAUAAGUACUUAAUUUUUAUCUGUGUGAUGAUAAUAUGAGAUAUGUUCUUAUUAAAUAAAUAUUUUUCAAGAAAAGGAUGUGUUCUUCAAAAUGGAUGAGUUCCAACUUUUGGAUAAGUUUCAAAAUUAAUAGAAAAUUAAUAAGAUUGUAAUAUUUUGAACCGACACUGGGUGAUGAUUACAAGCAUAGCGAAGUUUUCGAUCCCGUUGUGUCGAGAAUAAUGUUUCAAUCUUAUUAAUUUUUUUUUGGAAUAUGUGCCUAAUGUCCAAACCUAUUUUUUUGAAUGUAGUGAAAUGACUUCCAAAAACAUCAUAGUCGAUCUCACCAGGGGUGAUAAGCUAGAUGGAAAGAACUAUGAUAUUUGGCAUAGGAAAAUGCAAUACCUGCUUAAUGAACAAGGGGUUCUUGAAACCCUUUCUGUCAAAAGAGUCAUGCCUGCCGAAGGCACAACUUCUGAGCAUGAAAAAGAGAUCUAUAAUAAAUGGAUUAAGGAGGAUCAAACUGCUCGGUACACUAUAUUGUGUGCCAUGCAAGAUGACCUCAUUGGACAGUUUGAGAUCUUUGAAACUGCCAAGGACAUAUGGGACAAUUUGAAGAUUACUGUUGGUCAAACUUCAUCUACGAGGCUACGUGCCUUAAAUCUCAAGUUUCUACAGUAUAUUAAAGACCCGAAAUAUUUAAUGGCUGAGUACCUCCGUGUGAUGAGCACCAUAAUUCGGGACCUUAAAAUUACUGAAAACGAGCUCAAUAAUGAGUAACAAUAAGUUCUAGCAGUGAUUUGUUCAUUGCUUGAUCCUGAAUGGUCCCAGAUGAAGUUUCUGAUGACGCAUAAUGAGAACAUUAAAACGUUUAAUGACAUCUCGCGUCAUCUCGAGUUCGAGGCAGAGCGCUUGGAAGCGAAUCGUUCUGUCGCUCUUGUUGCACGCUCCGAGAAGCGCAGUGGGAUCGCACCCAAACGCAAAAAGCAUCACAACAAUGGAGCGCAAAAGAAACGAAAUCGAGCUCCCUGUGGUGGAGUUGAAAAGCUUUGUAGAGCCAUUUUGACAGAGAUUGCCUCGAUAUUUUCUUUCAUUGUACUUUAUUUGGAUAUGGUACAUUAGUUGAUGGCUUCUUUAAAUUAGAUUUGGAGGAUGAUUCGUUUGCAUUUGCUUCUUCUUUUUCUUCUUCUUCUUCUAAUCUCUGUGAAGAAUCCGUUAAAUAGCAUGCCAGAUUAGGCCAUAUAGGUCAAGAAAGAAUGAAUAGACUGGCUCGAGAAGGCCUUUUGGGGUCUCUCGCCAAAGUUGACCUAUCUGUAUGCGAGCCUUGUCUGGCUGGGAAGGCAAGUAGAAAGCCUUUCGGUAAGGCUACUCGUGCCUCUCAUAUUUUAGAGCUAAUCCACUCAGACAUUUGUGGGCCAAUGAAUGUGAGGGCCCGGCUUGGUGCUGGCUAUUUUCUCACAUUCAUUGAUGAUUAUUCCAGUUAUGGAUAUGUGUAUUUGCUUUCUCGCUGAUCUGAAGCUUUAGAUUGCUUCAAGCAUUUUGUUGCAGAGGCUGAGAAUCAAAUAGAAAAAAGUAUAAAGGUGCUUCGCACUGACCGAAGUCGUGAGUACUUGUCUGAUCAGUUCAAGACUUAUUGUGAGCAAAAGGGCAUUAGUAGACAGCUCACUAUUCCUGGUACUCCGCAACAAAAUGGCGUUGCAGAGUGAAGGAACCGUACUCUAUUAGACAUGGUUAGGUCGAUAAUGGCGCAAGUGCAACUUUCCAUAAAUUUUUGGGGAGAUGCUNUAAAACUCUACCUUUACGUCGUGAUUCACAUUGUGAGCAAUUUUCCAAAAUCUUCGAAAUCUUGAAUUCUUCAAUCUUCAUCAAUCAGCUUCGAUCCUUCAAGACUACGACUCACUUCACGAAACUUGCCAAUACAAAGUUCUUAACACUUAUGACGCACAAUGAGAACAUUAAAAUAUUUAAUGACAUCUCGCGUCAUCUCGAGCUCGAGGCAGAGCGCUUGGAAGCGAAUCGUUCUGUCGCUCUUGUUGCACGCUCCGAGAAGCGCAGUGGGAUCGCACCCAACCGCAAAAAGCAUCACAACAAUGGAGCGCAGAAGAAACGAAAUCGAGCUCCCUGUGGUGGAGUUGAAAAGCUUUGUAGAGCCAUUUUGACAGAGAUUGCCUCGAUAUUUUCUUUCAUUGUACUUUAUUUGGAUAUGAUACAUUAGUUGAUGGCUUCUUUAAAUUAGAUUUGGAGGAUGAUUCGUUUGCAUUUGCUUCUUCUUCUUCUUCUUCUUCUUCUUCUUCUUCUAAUCUCUGUGAAGAAUCCGUUAAAUGGCAUGCCAGAUUAGGCCAUAUAGGUCAAGAAAGAAUGAACAGACUGGCUCGAGAAGGCCUUUUGGGGUCUCUCGCCAAAGUUGACCUAUCUGUGUACGAGCCUUGUCUGGCUGGAAAGGCAAGUAGAAAGCCUUUCGGUAAGGCUACUCGUGCCUCUCAUAUUUUAGAGCUAAUCCACUCAGACAUUUGUGGGCCAAUGAAUGUGAGGGCCCGGCUUGGUGCUGGCUAUUUUCUCACAUUCAUUGAUGAUUAUUUCAGUUAUGGAUAUGUGUAUUUGCUUUCUCGCUGAUCUGAAGCUUUAGAUUGCUUCAAGCAUUUUGUUGUAGAGGCUGAGAAUCAAAUAGAAAAAAGUAUAAAGGUGCUUCGCACUAACCGAAGUCGUGAGUACUUAUCUGAUCAGUUCAAGACUUAUUGUGAGCAAAAGGGCAUUAGUAGACAGCUCACUAUUCCUGGUACUCCGCAACAAAAUGGUGUUGCAGAGCGAAGGAACCGUACUCUAUUAGACAUGGUUAGGUCAAUGAUGGCGCAAGUGCAACUUUCCAUAAAUUUUUGGGGAGAUGCACUUUUGACUGCAGCCUACAUCCUUAAUCGAGUUCCUAGCAAAUCAGUGCCUACUACCCCAUAUGAGUUGUGGAACGGUAGAAAGCCAAGUUUACACUACUUACGCCCUUGGGGUUCAGCUGGAUAUGUUCACAGCCUCUCACAUAAAUUCGGGAAACUCGGCUCUAGAGCGAGCAAGCAUGUGUUCAUCAGAUACUCUGAAAAUUCGAAGGGCUAUGUGAUGUAUGGUGUACACCCAGAUGGUGGUAUGACCGAGAUUGAGUCUCGUGAUGUGGAAUUCCUAAAAGGGGAUUUUCCAAGCAUUGGUGAAAUGCGAAGAGAUGUCGCAUUGUAUGAGUUACAGGACGACGCUACCCUAUCUGCUAUUGAGGGUGAUCGAUCACUUCCCGAAGUCGCUGAAGGAAGUGGUGGCGAUCCUCCGGCUAGUGGGAGUGUUUCCUUGAAUGAGAGCAUACCCUUGGAAGUCGGCAGUUCAGACCCUCCAUUACGUAGAAGUGAACGUGGACAUAUUCCCCAUCGACAUUUUGAAAUCGAAAGGGAUAUUUUCAUGUGCACUCCGCUCGAUGAUGAUGAACCUGCUUUUUAUAAAAAAGCACUACAGACGUCAACUGGCAGUGAGUGGAUGGCUGCUAUGAAAGAUAAGAUGGACUCCAUGAGCAAGAACCAAGUAUGGGAAUUAGUUGACCUUCCGCCUGGGCACAAGUCUAUUGGAAAUAAAUGGUUUUUAAAAUUAAGCGCAAGGCAGAUGGAUCAAUCGAUAAAUACAAGGCUCGGCUCGUGGCCAAGGGUUACGCUUAGAGGCAAGGGGUAGAUUACAACGAGACGUUUGCUCCCGUUGUGCGAUUUGCCUCUGUUCGUUUGAUUCUAGCCUUAGUGGCACACCUAGAUUUGGAAUUGUUCCAAACGGAUGUCAAGACAGCUUUUCUCAAUGGAGAAUUAGUGGAGGAGAUCUAUAUGGAUCAACCUGAGGGUUUUGUACUCAAAGGUCAAGAAAAUAAAGUUUGUCGUCUUAAAAGAUCCAUCUAUGGUCUCAAGCAGUCGUCGAGACAAUGGUAUUUCAGGUUUCAUGAAGCCAUUACCUCUAUCGGUAUGUCCAUGAUAGAGGAGGACCACUGUGUAUAUGUCAAGAAGACAAAGAAUGAGAUUUUGUUUCUCUCUCUAUACGUCGACGAUAUACUAUUGGCUGGAAAUGAUAUGGAGUUAAUCAACACCACUAAGGAGUGGUUGUCUCUCAAUUUUGAAAUGAAAGACAUGGGUGAGGCGAGCUAUGUGCUCGGAGUAAAGGUCAUCCGUGAUCACUCUAGAAGGCUUCUUGGUUUGUCUCAAGAAUCUUAUAUUAAAAAGAUUCUAGAGCGUUUUAGGAUGUAUCAUUGUAAACCCAUUGAUACUCCAAUGGAGAAGAAUCAAACUCUGAGUCUUGAUCAGUGCCCUAAAACGGAUAAAGAAAAGGUGCAAAUGAGUAGGGUUCCUUAUGCGAGUGCAAUUAGCAGCUUGAUGUCCGCUAUGAUGUGUACUCGAUCUGACAUUUGCUUCGCUGUUGGUUUGGUAAGUCGUUACCAGAGCAACCCAGGACCCAUUCAUUGGCAAGCAGUUAAGAGAAUCCUUCGAUAUUUAAAAGAAACCAGUGAUCUCGUCCUAUGCUUUCAAGAUAGGGACUUGAUUUAAAGGAUAUAGCGAUACUAGUUAUGGCGAUGAGUGCAGGUCCACCUCAGGCUAUGUGUUUGGAGGCGGCGCAAUUUCCUAGUAUAGUAAGAAGCAAGGCUGCGUUACCUUGUCUACUAUGGAAGCGAAGUAUGUUGCUUGAUCAGCAGCCGUUUUAGGAGGCUGUUUGGCUGAGGAGAUUUCUUUAGUGAGUCGACUUUGUGAUUCGAGUUGAUGAACCUGUUGAGAUAUUCUCUGACAGCAUAGCUGCCAUGGAGUAUGUGAACGACUCCGAGUAUCAUGGCAGGACCAAGCAUAUUGAUAUCCAUUUUCACUACAUUCAAGAGAUGAUUAGGCUAGGCGAGGUCGUUCUUAGACAUAUCUCCACCACUAGGAUGGUGGCUGAUCCGUUGACCAAGCCGAUAGCUAGGGAUACAUUCCAGACCCACAUUAGGAGUUUGGGUCUUCGUAGGUUUUGAUAUAUGGACAUUAUUUUGUAUCUUACGCUUUAUUAUGAAAAUAUAUUUUUUUCCUUUUAAUGAGAUAGCAUAAUUGAUAUUAGUAGGCACAUAUUCGUUAAGUCACCAGGCUCAGAUCAGCCCACUCACACGGGUGAUUGCCCUGGCACCUAGGUGGUGAGCAGGAUGAGACUAGAUAAUCAUAUUACACUUUAGUAGUUGUAAUAUGAUUAUUUUGUUCAUAUAUGUUAUGAAUGAAGUGUUGAUAUAAUUUAAAGUCGUCUUAAUUAGUUUAAGAUGAGACUCUAGAGAGUUGGAUAUGAAAUUUUUUGUGGAAUUUCAUAUCGAGCCUGUUUAGUAGCCGAACCUAAGUACUCAGCUUAGAGAGAUGACUUGAGUUGUGGUGGUUAGAUACCUUAGUUGUACCUAGACCAAGGUUCGUAUGGCGUUUUAGAGCGUGACAUGGCCCAUUGACUGGGAGCUCCGCCAUAGCGUACAUAUCAUACUGUAUGUGCUUGUCGACCAGUUAGCAAAGUGACAUAAGUUCUUCCCUCCAUGUCACUGUGUGAGUACUAACCCUUUUGUGCCCUUGACUUAGAACUACAUUAUGAAGUGGAGAUCCAAAAUAACUAACUUAGUGUGUAUCUCAGGGUCAUGAGAAAAUACGAUCUCGCGGAGCAUGUCUAGUAAAGUGCUUGGACCAAUACGGAUUAACGUAAGGGGCUGAGGAAGAUGUUUCGAUAACACACCACGUAAGUCUUGUGACUCAUUGCCCGGGCGGUUAUCUCGGUUAUGUUACUUGAGAUAAUCACGAGUACGAGAAAUAACGGUGGGGUUGAGCCCUGUCAUUACAGGAGAGGAACUUUGUGAUACUUGAUUUAGUGUGUGUUGGAACGUCUAAGGCAUAGACGAAUUAAGUCAGUGAUGUGCUAUGUUAGUACGGUGGUGACUUAAUAUAGCACUCUUGCAUGUGUUUCUUUCGUCAGGUCGCACGCUCCAUUAUCCGUAUGAAGAGAUGAAUGAAUAAGAGAGAAUUGGCCAAUGUGGCCAAGUGGGAGAUUGUAGCUAUGUGGUGUGUCCACAUUGGCGGGUUUUAAUUUAACCCGAUCCACUUAAGAUGUGGAUUGGAAUUUAUCCUAAUAAGUUAAGGAUAAGAAUAAAUCAUAUGUUUCUUAUUAGUUAAAAAACGUAUCUACUAGUGGAUAUCUAUUAUAGGUUAAUAGAUAUCCUGAUACUUAUCCUAAUCUAUAUGAGAUUCAGGAUAUUUAGGGGUUCCUAUAUAUACGCCCCCUUUCCUCUCCAGUAAAAGAGACAAUCGCAUACGAUCAAAUUCGUAAGAACCCACAAAAUAUCUUCCUUAUUCUCUCUCUCGUCCUCCUCUCUAGGAUUUCCACCUACGUUCCCGGGGUUUUGGAGUGUGGAUAUAGAAGAGGGCUCUGGUAGCCCUCUUCGAUUGGCAUCCGUCGCAUCAGAUCCGCAUCCGAUCCGUGGCGUAAGGCAUAUGCGUAGGAGAAGGCGAGAAACGUGGGAGAUCCAGAAGCAUCGAGACAAGGACGAUCCAAGAAGGCUUGUAAAACAAGCAAUCCAAUCCGAUUUGGGUUCCCGGAUACGCUGGCUAUCCGGUUUGUAAGUUUCCGCUGCCCUAUUAUUUCCAACACAAUAAAUAUACAAUGAAUUUCUCUUUUAUCUAGUUUCUUUCUUUUAAGCUUUGGAAUCUUUACAAUAACUGAUAUCCCUAAACCUUUAAAUAAUUUGAAUUAGGGUUUCUUCCUUUAAAAAUUUCAUAAGUAGCUUUAUUGCUCCUUUUCGUGGGGACUUCAUAAUUCAAUAAAAAACAAGCCCUUAAUAAGGUUUCACACAAAAUCCAUCUCCAAAACCCAAGUUAAAAAGAAUAACAUCAACUAUUUCCAUUAGUUUUCUAUUUUUUUCUUUUUCUACCUUUGGCCAUUAUGAUGACUGCAAGAGCAUCAACCUUUCCUGUAGUGCACUGAACUUUAGCAAAUUGUAAGGUUCCAGUGUCAGAAUAGUGUUUUGAGCUAUUCCUGGUGUUUUCGGGGGUCGUAGGCUGUGUUCCAACCUAUUACUCGCGUCUUGAGAUUCGUGAGUGGGUACUUAGCACCAAAAUCUGCAAACUGCAGGUUUUGGGGUGCUGGGUACCGAUACCACAGUGGGGUACCGGAACCUCGUCGCUUGACCGAGAGGGGUGCUCUCGGGUUUGAGCUCGGGAAGGCUGAGUACCGGUACUGACUCAGCCGAGUACCAGUACUGGGCCGGGUACUGGUACUGCAUUACGCGGGUACCAGUACACCAUGGUUUACCUGCCUGGCAGAGGCUCGGGUUUGCGGGUGUGGCUGCCGGGUACCGGUACUCCCCUUCGAGUACCGGUACGCAGUGUGAAAAUUGUACUUCGUGCAGUUUGUUAUUUUCGGUAUUUUGAGGGGCUUUUUGGGGAUUGUUGCUUGGUUAUAAAUACCCCAACAUCCCCAUGAGUGUUUCCUUGAGCUGAGAACAAGAGAAGAAGUAGUGAGUCUCCUUCUCUUCCUCUCUCUCUCUCUAGAUUUUUUCUCUUUUGUUAGAGAUUUUAUGGAUUGAUCUCCCUUUCUUCUCCUCUUCCAUGGGUGGAUGAUCUUGGACCGUGGAGAAGCUUUGGAGUUGAAGGUUUGAGCUUGGUUGAGGAAUUAUCUCCAACCCUAACACCAACUUAGCUUGGUUUGGAGCUCUAAAGAAGGUUAGUAGCUUGAUUACUUCCUUGGCUUGUGAUUUUGGAGAGCAUUUGGAGUUUAACCUAGUUAUUUGGAAACUAGGGUUUCAUUUUGGGGUUUUUCUUGUUUGAGCCUUUGAAGCUUAAUUGUUGGUUUCAAUACUUCCUUUUAGGUUGGAAUUGAAGCAUCCUAAGUUUUUCCUCAUUUAAGGUAUUUUCUACCUAUUUAUGGGUUUAUUUUUUAGGAAUUUUGUGGGGUAUGCGUUUGAAGCCUCUAACCCUCUUGGAAUUUUUGUUAGGGAGCUAGAAGGCUAGUGGACAACCUCAUUCGUGCAAACGAAGGGAUUUUGAGGGGUAUCCGAUGGGUUUGACCUUACCAAAAUAGGUGAACUCCUCCUAUGUCAUUUUCUAUGUUGUAAAAUAAGAAAUCAUGCAUAUUUAUGCUAGUCGUAGUCUAAAUGAAUUUUUGAAUGCUUAAGAUAUACAUGUUACAUGUCAAGAAUAUAUCCUCUAUAUAGUAGAGUGAGAAUUGCAUAUAGAACUUGUAUGUAAAAAGAUAUCCUUCAUGCCAUGUUGGGAAGCAUAUGGUGAUUAGUGAAAUGACAAGUCUUACAUACUCAUGGACUAAUGAAUAUUAUACUUGACAUAGUAAACAUGAACGUCAUGUAGUGACAUUUGACUUAGUAAAUGACUAAACUUCUACAAUGUGAUAUCGUGUUAGACCUUUGGGUCGUUAGUGCUUAUUCCAUGUUUUAGACAUGAUGACCGAGGAUUGGAUACUGAUGAUCAUGCUUGCUGGCUACUGUGCUCAUUCGCACAAGCUUGUGAGGGUCGCUCCUUACAAGCCGGCACUCCGGAGUUAGCCUACGCGACAUAAGCUCACCCGUGCGGGAUUGGGUGCCUAAGUGGAUCGCCGUGGGGAGGCUCAUUCCUAGAGGGGGGAUGUUGACUACCACGGGGCCAUUAGACGGUGCAAGCCGGACUACACUUGUGUAGAUUCUAAUUGAAUUGAACAAUGACAUUUAAAGGUAUAAUAUGACUGACUAUCACUACUAGAUAGUGUAUGAUAGUUGGACUCGUUGGAUAGUGUAUGAUAGUUGGACUCGUUGGACAUGCACAUUCAUGAUAGAAUAGCCGCAUUAACUGUUAAACAUCAUGUUAAAUUGGAGGCAUAGUAGCUUAGUGGAUUAUUACUUGUUUAGAAAUCAUGUUAUCUCUUUAAUCAUGAUUAUAUAUACUACUCAUGCCUCGAUGACCUAGCGGUGUAUUUCGCUGAUGUCGGUGGCUUACCCACUAGGAACUAUUGACUAAUAGUUCUCAUUCCCAUUGUGUUGUUGUUUUUGCUUACAGAGCCAUCCACGUCGGAAGAGGCUAGGGACCGCGGCAAGAAGGUCGCGUCUAGCUAAACUAGCUCGGAGAUUCUGCUAGGUGGUCAUCUCUUCUUUUAUAUUAGUUUGAGAGAGAUGUUUUGUACCGAUGUAUAGAGACCACCCUCUUUGUAUUUAGUUCUAUGUUAUGUGUAUUCCGAGUCGUAUGUAUUAUCUUUGUGGAUUAUUAUAGUUGUUUAGUUUUACUUUCCUAAACUUGUCUCUAGAGAAUAGUUAUGUACAUGCUCUGAUAUCAUGCUAGAUGUUCUUAAAUUCUUGUUUUAUUUUUUUAUCGUAUUAUUGUAGACGCCUUAUAUGUUAUUGGCAUAUGGCGGGUCUGGGCACGUACUGGGUAGGCUUCCGCUAGGGCCCGGGCAUGACAUUUCCACCACUGGAGGCCUCUCUGCAGACAUAUCUAUAUGUUGCCUUAGCGCAGGCGGUUUUUUUAGUGGUUACAGGACGAGCAACGGGCAUCUCGGUCGAGUGGAGCAGCUAGGUCUCGUAACCAUUUGUUGGCACCAUAAAAGUAGCACCACGUGGUAGAGCGAUCCGCGCCAAGUGAGCAGAGUGGCAAGACAUAAAGCAACAUGUGGUACACCCGGAGUUAGAAGCCACAUGCCUAAAAUGGAAAGGCGGCUCGGGUGGGAUGCAGUUGAAGACGUGGAGGAAGGAGUUCGUGGCCAACAAGAAAUCGGCCGAAGCAUAACUCGAUAAAAAGUGGCCGAAUAAACCUCCACGAUGGUAUUAACUCAAUAAUGGCAGGUAGGGUUAUAAAUAAGAAAAAGCGCGCUUGUAAGAGGGGUCCUUCACAUGAGCAAGAGACCAAUGCAAAUUUAAAUUUCUUUUUUUCCGGCAUUUACAGCUUUUUAGGAGUUAGUUUCAAUAGUUAGUAGAUUUUCUUUUUUAGUUGUAGUAGAUUUUCUUGUUAAUUUCCUGUAGUUAAGAGCAUGGUGGAGUAGGAAAUUAUCUCUAUAACAACUCUUGCACCCCUACUUUAUCCUUUUUUCGAUAAAUACAAACCACUCGACUCAUUCAACCGAGUUUGUGAAUAGUUGCAAAAGAAUUAAUUUGGUUGAGCCAAUCCCUCCUGAACCGAAUCACUUAAUUUGUCAAUGGCGUACCCAAGGGUCAUCUCAGGAGCUGAUUCACAUUCUGAGGAGGAAUUUGAUCUGGUCAAUGCUUUGCUCUGGUCUGUGUCGCCCAGCAUUUGGUUCCUAUCACAGCAAUUUUUGGCAUGCCCGGUGGGACCUGCUUAGGUACAUUCCAAUCUCUCUUAGAUGACUUUUGACAAUAUGAUGAACCUUCGAAACAGGGCCAUUCCCAAACCCUCAAGGAAUGACCAGACCGAUAGCUCCAAAAAUGCAAGUGAGCAUCAGACAGCAUUGCAGUCAGGAGGUGAGAGUAGUGGGCAUUCAACUCAUCCAGAGCUAAGUUAGGAACUCGGGCAAAUGACUCGAGUCCUACAUACUCUAGAUCAGAACAGUCACCAAAGUACCGCCCGUUUAGACGCGGUGUUGGCCGUCAUCACAGCCUCCAACAAAAACAUAGCUCGUAUUGGGCAAUUGUUGGCCUAGAACGAGCAACCAUAUGGGGGUCCACAAAAAUCCCUAGCCAUGCUGGUGCAACAAAAUUUUGUUGCGCCGGCAGGCCUGCAGGCACAACCCCAUAUGGCACAUUUUCAGGCUGCCUAGAGGUCGGCAAACAUAAAUGCCAACCCACAAUCGAAAACCACCUCCCUUACCUGUCUAUCAACCCCAAAACAAGGGUAUGAGGGCUGGAGGGCAAGGCCCCAAUGUAGCACAGCGACUUAACCCUGCAGUGCAUAAUUACAUGCCACCUGCAGGGCCAAAAAAAAUUCUGGCCUCAGCUUCCACCCCGAUAGCAGAGAACAAUUAGCUGUGUAUGCUCAAAUAGAGGUGGUGAUCUGAAACACGUUCGGUGUAGAGACAAGGUCGGUGAUGUGGCCCGUAUUUAGGUCCCUGUACCCAGCUAAUACGGAUGCGGAACAUCUAUAUCUGGCAAAUUGGAAGAUGUAGAAGUUCGACAAAUUCUCGGGUGAAUACGGUAGAGCAUGUCGUUCAGUUCACGGCCCAAUGUAGAGAAGCGGCCGCUAACCCAUUCUUGAAACUUUGCUUGUUUAACAUGUCGUUAACCAAGACGGUGUUUACAUAAUACACAAGCUUACCUGCUAAUUCCAUCCGAGAUUGGGACGAAUUGGAGUGUAUGUUUACGAGCCGUUUUAUAGAUCAGAAUUUGAAUUAUCAUUGGCCGAUCUAUACAGAUAGAAGUCAGGAGAAACGGUCAAAAAGUACUUGAACCAUUUCAAAACGGCCAGAAACCAGUGCUUUGUGAGAAUGUCAUAAUCUGAGUUUGCGACAAUAGCGUUUAAUGGUUUGCAUUUUAAAAUAAAGAACCAUUCUAAAGAUAAGUAUUUUCCUAACAUGUUUGAUCUGGGUGUUCGCGUCGUCCAAUAUGAGCAAUUCCGAAAGGAACAUGAGGGUGAUCAGCCGUGUUAGAGCAGAAACAAAGAAUGAAAUAAAUAGAAAGAGAAAAAUAUGUCUCUUUCAUUGAAGAGGGAUCGACAUGAGAUGAGCCGAACAACUCUAGCGAGUCCAAAGACUCGACUGAUAAAGCCGAGUUGUACGCGGUGGAGAUGGUGAAGAAUCGUGAGCCUUACAAGUGUGCACUACGUAAGCCAACUAAAGCUAAUGAAUCUAAAGCACGAAUUGCGACAUACACUUAGUCGUUCGACGUUGCCAAAAUUGACCAGAUAUUUGAUCGGUUGUAUAAAAACGGAAGGAUCAAGCUUCAAGAGGAUCAAACGCUACCUUCUAGGGAAGAAUUAAAGAAAAGAAAGUAUUGUAAGUUGCACCAUUCAUGGAACCACAGGACUAAUGACGACACGGCCUUUAAGAGGCAAAUACAAAAGGAAAUAAAUGAAGGUUGCCUAGUUUUUGCCGACCAAGAAAAUAAUAAUAAAAUGAAAAUUGACCAAAACCCAUUUUCUACGCAGGUUAACAUGGUGGACGUUAAGGGAAGAAGCUUCUUUAGGAGGACAAAUUAUAGGAGGAAGUGGCUAAGACGAGAAGAAUGUUUUGGCUCUGCAUCAGGUGCAAAGCCAAAAUGAGACACCAAGAUUGGAAAGUAACCUGCGUGAGAAGAAGGCAUAUGGGAAUGGAAGGAGCUCAUGGCCUUCCCUGAGGAAUAAGAGGACAUAUUCGAGGCCAUCGGUCACUCCAACGAAUGUUCAGAGGAGGCUUCCAAUGACUUCGAGGAAGAAGUGAACUCCAGGAAGGAUUGAAAGGACCUACCGAUCUAGAAGGUCAUGAACGAGUACUAUCAGACAAAGGAGAGUACUAUCCAAGAAGGUUAUCCAAGAUAACCUUUCGGCACUUAGCAAAUGAACCAGGGGUAUCGACCCAUAUGGAACCAGUAUCCACAGCUGAGAUCCAAACUAGAAUUUGAAGGUAUGACCGAAGGAGACAUAGAAGUCUCCGGUCUGAGACUAGUGAAUGAGUUCAGUAUCUAGCCAUGGCCGAGGCCAUCAGAAAGAAGAAGAUCCUGAGAGAACACCUCAGGAUGGUAAAGACGCCGGCAAAUAUAUGGUUCAUGACAAGGCCACCGGCCAGGUGGUAUAGGCUGGUUCUAACAAAAACACAAGAACGGCGGCAACAAAGGAUGUAGGCCAAGAUGAGACACCACUAGGAGAAAGCGAAAGGGAUGAGACCAAACACGUGAAAAUGGCCUACGCAGCAGUUGUUUUCUCAGCUUAUGAAGAAUGAUGAUGAGGUGGGCUGUUUAAAUCCCUUGCCAUGGCUGAAAUCCCAAGUAAAGCAGUCGGCUACGAAAGAGCCGAUGAAAAAAGUCAUGCACAAGGAGCUGGGGGAGAAGAUCGCUUCUCUAGAGACCAUUAUCAAACGAGAGCGAUGGCCACCCAAGGAGAGAGAGAUUAGGCCGAAGAGUGAAUUUUCGGCUGAAGUGGCAAGAGGGUCCUAUGAGAAAAAAUAGAGGACCGGAGAAGUUGCAACCGAAGAAAGUUUGGCUGACGUGGGCAUGGUGUACGCGUUGCCAUACUCGUUCCAGACAUAGUCAGAAGAGGCUGAGAAGCAGCCUCGAUAUGAAGAGGAGCUAGCCGUGGCCUAGCUCCAGCUCGAGAACGUCAAGGUGGCCGAUGCAGUGGUGUUCAAAAAGCCAUCGGCUCUACAAACCAGGGUUGUCAGGCCUUUGUACAUCAGGCCCUUAAUUGUAACGACCUAACCCACUAGCGUUGGGACGAACCACCAGCCCAAAAUGCUUAAGCCCAGUUAUUAUUACUAGUGUCUAAGUCUCUUAUAUACCCAAUCACAUCCCCAUUCCUAUCUGAUGUAGAAUUAUUGGGGUGUGACAGCCUCCCCCUGUUAAGGCCCUAACGUCCUCGUCGGUCCAAUCACACACUCAGCCCAAGAUCACGAGGCGAUGUGAGACUCGUUUCGCUAACCUUGUCAUCCAGACCCUAGCAUAGCCGGUGAUGAUGUCAUUCAAACUCCGGCAUAGCAUAUCACCUUGUCUUUCAGACCCUGGCUCAGCCGAGACUCGCCACACAUUUCCAGCUAGUGAACCUGGCUCUGAUACCAAAUGUAACGAUCUAGCCCACUAGCAACAAUAACUCGUUGGGCCCAACCACCAGCCCAAAAUGCUUAAGCCCAGUUAUUAUUACUAGUGUCUAAGUCUCUUAUAUACCCAAUCACAUACCCAUUCCUAUCUUAUGUGGAAUUAUUGGGGUGUGACAUUAAUAGAGGGAAGGCACUUUGGCCGAGUAAUAAUAGACAGUAAGGCUUUGGUGAACGUUAUGCCUACGCAUUUUUCAAGAAAUUGGGUAAGAAUGAAGACAAGCUCAAGCCCACCGAUACAACCAUGAUCGACUUCACAGGAAGCGGUCAGCAGGCGUAGGGUGUACUAACAAUCGAACUGACGGUUGGAUCCAUCUCCGGACGGCCUUCUCUACAACUUAGGAGGGAGCGCAGCACCGGCGCCGGCGCCGGUGCCGCCACUCGUCGAGAUGGCUGAGACGUCGAAGGUAAAGCUGGGAUAAUCUAAACAAGGUUGAAUAUCAAACUCUACAAGCCUAAUAUCGAACUCUCUUGUCCCGUGGGUUGGUGCAGUGUCGGAAGAGGAAGAUCAGUGUGGGAGAAGAAGAGAGGUCGGGGAUUUGUAUCGGGGGGAAGAGGCCGGGGAUUUGAUCGUGAAGUGAGGGAAGGGGCGGCGGGGCGGGGCACACAUGAGGUGAGGAGGGGGAUUUUUUAUCGUAUUAUUUUGGGGGUUGGUUUUGGGGGUGUUGGGUAGGUCUGGGUUUACUUUUAGUUGGGCUAAAGAAACAACUUACAUGAACCUAUAAUAUAUGGAUUUUGGUUGGGUUUUAAUUAGGAUAAAAAAUUUUAUGUAUUGGUAAUUUUUAUAAGUUCACUCUUUAACAAUCAAUUCUUUAAUAUUAGUUCUAUAACCUUUUUUAUUCUAAUACCAAAAUCCAUAUAUUAUAGGUUCAUGUAAGUUGUUUCUUUAACAAUUAGAUUUUUAAAUUAUGCAAAUUACACCAAGUUUAAAUUUUUUGUUUCAAAAUAUUAAUUAAUAUAAACCUCCCUUGUGUAGUCCAAAUAUGUAAAUUCUAUAAUUUUGGGCCCAAUUUGACCCAUCAAUAAUGUUGAAGCCAGAAUCUAAUAUAAACUAGUCUGCAUUAGCAUUAAUAUAUUGCCAGUUGGUUUUCUCAAUUCUCUUGAAAAAUUUAAAAAAAAAUUUAAAAAAUAGAAAAAAAUAGAAAAAAAAAUUCCUUAAUCAUUGUAUUACCAUAUACCGACGGUUUAGAAUUGGUAUAAUAAUUAGUUAAAACCGCUGCUAAAAUAUAGUUUUGUUAACACUUGUGGUAAGUGUUACUAAAAUAAGUGUCGCUAUAAAUUAACUUUUGUGUAGUGAUCCAUCUAAUGGUGUUCCCACUUCCUGAAAAUCAAAACAGUCAAAAGACAGUGUGCACUCAUCAAUUUAGCAACUGGUGCGAAUGUCUCAUGAAAGUCGAGUCCCUCAACCUUUUGUGACAAGGUAAGUCUUAUAACACUCCACACUGCUAUUGUCCAUGCGCUUCACCUUGUAUAACUAUUUGCAACCGAUGGGUUUCUUAUUUGGUGGGAGAUCUUCCACGGUCCACAUACUGUUGUCUUCGAGAGCCUUUAUCUCUUGGGCCAUAGCAUCUCGCCAUUUAGGAUUUUUCAUCGCUUGAGAGUAAUUUCUAGGCUUGAUAUCUUCAUCAAGAGUUGCUACAAAUGCUUUGUAAGAUCGAGACAAUUCAACAUGACAAAUAAAACUUUCUAUAGAAUGAACCGUACCUAAAGUCGUCGUGGAGUGAAGUGUCAUGCGGGGGGGUCUUUGGGUUCGGUGGCAUGGCACACAUCAUCUCGUGUGAGCUGAUGUUUUGCGCAUCCUUCUAGACCGUGUGGUCUGGAUUUCUAUCAAAUUCAGCCCACCAUAGUCUUUAGACCCACUCUAUUGCCCGGUAAAAUUUCUUCCUUGCUAGGUUUCUGCAUUUUUGUGUUUGGUUCAAACUGGACUUGCGAGCUGUUGGGCUCCUCACUAAGUUCGACUAUUCUGGACCCGACUGGAGGAACCGGAGAUGGCUGAGCUACUAGCGCAUCUUGAAAGAUCGAGUUGACUGCAUUGGCUUCCUCAAACACCAAUGGCACAAUCGACUCGUCUUCGCUAUCGACCUUAAAUUCUACAAAUUUUUCUUUGCUGAAAACUACAUCUCUCGAGACAAAAACUUCUUGUGUGUCAAGGUCGUAUAGUUUCCAUCCUUCCGAGGUCUUUCAUGAAAUUUAUCAUAGACCCACGGCUUCCAAUGAGAAAAAUAUAUAAACCCAAAAAUUCAAAUAUGAUUAUAAUUCAAUUUUUGCCCGAAGAGUACCUCCGAAGGUGUCUUCCCAGAUAACAGUUGUAUCGAAGUGUAAUUGAUGAGAUAAAUGGUUGUUAAGACACACUCGCUCUAAAACUUAACACGUAGUCCCACUUCGAAGCGCAAGGCUCUCGCUACAUUGAGUAUUUGUCCGUGCUUACGUUCCACUCUCCCAUUUUGUUGAGGAGUGUCGAUGCAGGAGGUUUGGUGUAUUAUCCCCUUAUUUGAGUAAAAUUGUCAUGUCGGACCUAUAAUAAUUUUUCAACAAUUAUCCAAUCUAAUUAUUUUAAUUAUGUGCCCAAAUUGAGUUAUAACCAUAUUAUAGAACUUUAUGAGCAGCCAGCAUAUUUUAGAAUUUUCUUUCAUUUAAAAUGCCCAAGUCCCUCAGCUGUGAUCAUCAACUAUGAUUCGAAAAUAUCUCGCACCUGAUAAGGACCCGUGUUAUAAGGUCCCUACAAAUCACAAUGGAUCAAAUUAAAACUUGUAGUAGCUUUAUUUUCACUAACAUCAAAUGGUGUUCUAGUUUAUUUCUAACGAAACAUAUGUCGCAAGAAUCAUUAAAAGACUUAUUAAUUAAAAUUUCAGGAAUUAAAUUCAAAACUUGGCGAGAUGGAUGGCCUAGUCACCAAUGCCAUAAACCAUAGCUUCCCGUUGUAGUUGCUACACAUGCUAACAACAGUGUCACACGCCCAAGACCCUCCCCAUAAUUUACCUACUCCAAUCAGCUUCUUCGAGGUGAGAUCCUAUACAGAACAAAAAUCAGGAAAAACUGUCACCAAACAAUUUAGAUUUGCGGUCAAUUUUCUAAUUGAAAUUAAAUUACA
rnacentral:lncRNA from 1 species